CUUGUUCCAGAAUCAGCUGUGCCUGAUUUUGGUGUGUACAUAAGGGUUAGCGCUAUUGCACGUCUCAGCGCUCUAGCAACCUGUGCUGGUUGGUUCCAUUGGCCAUGCAACCUGAACCUUUAGAAGAACAUGGCCUAGCUGGGCAAAACGUCCCCUUAUGCUGGCAGUAAUAUACUAGUAGUGCCAGCAGAACGUUUCGUGGUACCUGCGGUAACUUAUAAGUACCUUAAAGCCCAUCGUGUCUGAGAUUUCUAUGUGGUCUUUGUCUCGUUGCUAUUGCUAUGUGACGGCGACGCCCUGGGUUGAUGUGUAUUUUCGCAAGUAGCUCUGAGCUUUUUAUGAGUGUUUUUAUUUCCAUUGGCUUAGUUAGAUUCUCUACUGUCUACAGUGACUAUGUGGUUUUUAAAAAUAGAUCCAUAUGAAAAAUGCAUUUCAAAAUUAAAAUCCUGCUCUGUUUUUUCCCCACAUGUUCAUCUCUUCUGUGUAGCCUACAAAUGAAAAAUAUUUUGGUCAAAGUUUGUGGAUAUAAAGAGGGCAUCUAAGCACAUGAUGGAUUUUUCCCUAUGUUUUUGGAGGCUUCUUACUAUGUAAUUCUAUUGUUAUUUUAAAAACUCUCCGUGGAACCUGCGAACCAAACGUCCAAACUAUGUUAUAUGGGCUAUUUUAUUUUAUUUUGGGCGGGUUGAAGAUGAGAUACCUCGGUUAAUGUAUAACACAUAUUUGUAGAAAACUAAAUCCAACCCAAGAUAGAUUACCUAGGCAACGCUUAUGAUUCAAACUCUGUUUUAUUUUGGGAUGGAGAUCGCUUCCAAGGGUUAAUGAUUUAUUGCUUGCGUCCAAGGGUGCAGAUUACAGGAUAUAUAAAGGCUUUAUGGGCUUCUAACAAACUAGGAAACUACCUACGCUUCUAACAAACUAGCAAACUAACUAUCCCUGGACUCUAGGAACCAAUGCAGGAUCAGGACUCCUUGCCCCGAUUAUGCCUCGCCAGCUGCUGCUCCUGGGCGCGCGAUCCGCGCCUGUACGCAGCGCACCACAUGACAUCUCUCCCCCCCUCGACGAGUAGCUCGUCCUCGAGCUGAAAAGCGGCGUAGCGCUCGACGUAACUGUCAAGAUCCUCUCAUGUUGUCGAUGACGCCGCCUCACCCUUCUAGUGGACAAGGAGCUGGCACACGCCACGUGAGAGGCGUGAACGAGUCACGCGUUCUGGUUCUGGGACAGCCGCACCGUUGUGGAUUGGAGGCAAACCCGGCGGUGCAGUUGAAGGCGUGCCGAAGAAUUUCUUGAGGAGGCCCACGUGGAACACAUCAUGGAGGCGCGAGCGCACCGGUAGCUCAAGGCGGUAGGAGACGUCGUUGACGACCUCGGAAAUGCGGUAUGGCCCGUAGAAGCGUGGCUUGAGCUUGCCCCUGGUUGGCAAGUUGAGAGAAGAUGCGGCGCGCUGGCGAAGACGAAGCCACACCCAAUCGCCCACUACAUGCCUGACGUCGCGAUGGCGUCUGUCGUAGUAGGAUUUGUAGACCGCCUGCGCCCGCUGUAGUCGAUAGCGGACAUCAGCAAGUAGCUCGUCUCGCUCCGCCAUGCUUUUUGCCACGACCGCCACCCUCGUGUCGCCUGACUCGUAAGAACGAAUAGUGGGAGGAUCGCGGCCAUACACGAGCUUGAACGGAGUUUCUUGGGUCGCCGUCUGGUAGGCGGUGUUGUAGAUGUACUCGGCCCAGGGAAGCCACCGUAGCCACUGGCGCGGACGAUCCCCUGUGAGGCAACGCAGGUACAUAACAAUGAUCUUGUUAGCAGCCUUCGUUUGGCCAUCCGACUGAGGAUGAAAUGCCGACAUCAUGUGUAGCUUCGUCCCGGUGAGGCGCAUGAGCUCCCGCCAAAACGCCGAGGUGAAGACGGGGUCGCGGUUCGAAACCAUGGACUGCGGAACGCCAUGGAGGCGCACGAUCUCGGCGAAGAACACCUGUGCCACCGACUCUGCCGUGUACGGGUGGCUCAACGCCACGAAGUGGCAGUACUUGCUGAAGCGAUCCACCACGGUGAGGAUGACGGACUUCCCGCCCACGCGAGGGAGCGCUUCCACGAAGUCGAUGCCGACGUCAGUCCACAUGCCCGUGGGCACCGGCAGCGGCAGCAGCAGACCGGCGGGGUGCAAGUGCUCAGACUUGUACCUCUGGCAAGUACCGCAGGUGCGGACGUACUCUUGCACCGUCUUGCGAAGGUUAGGUGCGUGGAAGUCGUGGCGGAGACGAUGCAAGGUGCGCAGGACGCCUUCGUGCCCGUCGUCGUGCACUGCGGUGAGGAGCUCCUGGAGUAGCGGGGACGACGACGGAAUGUAGAGGCGGCCGUUGAAAGUGACGAGGCCGCCGGAGACUGACCACGGCUGCUGCCGCGUACCCGCCAUGAUAUCCUCACGCAGCGCGACGAGCACCGGGUCGGUGGACGUAGCUUGCCGGAGGCGAUCGAUGAAGUCGAAGCGAGGACCCGAUAUCGCCAUGAGCGACGUCUCCUCCGUGUCGCGGCGGGAAAGGACGUCCGCCACCGUGUUUGUACUACCGGCCUUGUACUCCACGGUGAAGUCGAACCCCAGUAGUUUGCCGACCCAAUGAUGCUGCGGAAAGGUUGCCAAACGCUGGUCAAGUAGGAAUUUGAGACUGCAGUGAUCCGUUUUUACCACAAAUUGGCGCCCCCAGAGGUAUGGUCUCCAAUGACCAAUAGCGAGCACCAGGCCGAUGAGUUCCCGUUCAUAUGCUGCCAGGGAACGAUGACGUGGCGCGGCCGGCCGGCUAAAGAAAGCCACCGGGUGCUGGUCCUGAAGAAGGGCAACCCCGAAGCCGUAUGUAGAGGCGUCACACUCGACGAUGAACGGCCGCGUGAAAUCCGGCAACGCGAGGACGGGAGCCGUGGUGACCGCCGUCUUGAGGGCGGUAAAAGCUGUUGCCGCCUCCGGCGACCAGGAGAAACCAUCCUUGCAAAGGAGGGCCGUCAGUGACGCGGCAAUCAUGCCAAACUCCUUGACAAACUUACGGUAGUACCCCGCAAGGCCGAGGAACCCCCGGACUGCGCGCGCCGAGCGUGGCUGCGGCCAUUCGGCCACUGCCUGCACCUUUUCCGGAUCCAUGGCCACUCCUGCAGCGCAGAUGGUGUGACCCAGGUAGGAGAUCGACUCGACGGCGAACACGCAUUUGGAUCGCUUGACGAAGAGCCGGUGCUGGUGCAGGACGGUGAAGACGGUGCGCACAUGUCGGAGAUGGUCGGCCCAUGUCUCGCUGAAAAUGAGGAUGUCGUCAAAGGAGACGAGAACAAAGCGGCGCAGGUACGGCCGCAGCAGAUCGUUCAUGAGGGCCUGGAACGUCGCCGACGCAUUGCAGAGGCCGAACGGCAUCACCAGGAACUCGUAGAGGCCGUCGUGGGUACGGAAGGCGGUCUUUGGGAUGUCCUCCGCACGCAUCCGCACCUGGUGGUAGCCGAAGCGCAAGUCGAGCUUGGUGAAGAAACGAGCGCGCCGGAGCUCGUCGAGGAGUUCGUCCACCACCGGGAUCAGAAACGUAUCCUUGACGGUGAUGGCGUUCAGGGCGCGGUAGUCGAUGCAGAAGCGCCAGGACCCGUCGGCCUUGCGGACCAACAGUACCGGCGAUGAGAAUGCGGAACAACUCGCUCGGAUGAUGCCCUGGGCGAGCAUGGCGGCGCACUGACGCUCCAGCUCGUCCUUGUGCGCGGCCGGGUAGCGAUACGAACGGACGGCCACCGGGGCGGAACCGGGCAGCAGGGUGAUGCCGUGGUCGCGGCUGCGGGGUGGUGGCACGCCGGAGGGUUCGGCGAAGAUGCCGUCGAACUCGGUGAUGAUGGCGUCGAGGAAGUCGCGGCCGCUGCACGAUUUCAGGGCUGGUCCGUCCGGUCCUGCAAUGCCGUGCCAGCACACCCGAUGGCCCCUCCGCCAGAACAUCAUGGAGAGGGCGCGGAAAUCCCACAGGAUCGGUCCAAGCGUCGCAAGCCACUGCGUGCCCAGGACGACGUGGUAGCCCGCGAGCAGCAAGGCGAGGAAAUCCUCCGAGAAUGCCUCUUGGUCGAUACGGAAGGGCACGGCGCGGUACGCGCCCUGGAACGGAACGCGCUCGCCGUUGGCCACCGUGACGCGCAUCUUCUCGGUGGCGGGGGAGGGCAGCGUAGCACGAGUGGCCGCCUCCUCGGUGAUGAAGUUGUGGGUGGAGCCUGAGUCGAUCAGGGCAAGGAGGGAGACACCCCCGAGGGUGAUAUGCAUCUGCAUGGUCUCGCUUGUGCGCACGCCAGAGAUUGCGUGUAGCGAGAUCUGAGGGUCGGUCGGCGAUGCAUCAGUGGUGGCGGAGGCCGUGUCGUCAUCGUCCGGCGCCAGGUCGAGGAGAAAGAUGCGCUGGCACACGCGGUUGUGGCCCCUGCCAAACUUCUCAUUACAAUUGAAGCAUAGGCCCAGGCGACGGCGUUCCUGCAUCUCCGCCUGUGACAGGCGUUUGAUUUGGCGCCCUUCCGGAAGACUGGGGGCAUGCUGGGGUGCGGCUGGUGGAGCCGGUGCGGGGGGCGCGAGGCAUGGUACGGGCGCCGGCAGGAUGCCCUUCUGCUGAAAACGCAUCGGUGGCGCGAAGGUGAGCGCGCACUGGUCGCGCAGCUCCAAUUUGCGGGCGAGGCUCAUGGCGACGGCGAGGGACUGCGGGUUGUGGAUUUCCACGUCGAGGCUGAGGGGUGGCUGGAGUCGCGCGGUGAAGAUCUGAACCUUCUGUGUCUCUGAUAAGGUGCCUGCCCGGGGAAGGAGCGCCUCAAACCGCUCCUGGAAGUCGACGACGGACGUCGUGCGCUUGCACGCCAUUAGUUCGCCUAGCGGGUUAGCGCGCAGAGGUGGCCCGAAGCGGAGAUUGAGCAGCUCGGUGAAGCGGCGCCACGGAGGUGUGCCCUCGUCGCGCUGGACGUGCAUAUACCAUAGUUGGGCAGCACCCUCGAGAUUGUAGGACGCCAUCCACACCUUCUCCUCCUCGGCGAUCUGUUGUUGAUGGAAGAAGGACUCGCAUCUGUUGAUGAAUGCGAGAGGAUCGGACUUGUCGACGAACUUGGGGAAGUCCAUCUUCUGAAACCGGGGCGGCCGAUCAUUGUGGUGCUGCCCAUCAUGGCCUCCGUCAGCGCUCGACGAGGAGGAGGACUUGUCCUUCUGGAGUGCGGUGACGGACGUCUGCAGGGACGCCACCGUGGCAGUCAAGGCCUCGAUCAUCUUGGCCAGAUCAGCGGUGGUUGGUUCUGCCAUGCCGGAAGUGACCGAGGCGGCGGCGGAUGGUGGCGAUGGAGGUGUGCUUGGCGUGGACGCAGGGGUGGAGGCGGGCUGCGGAUGGAGCGCAGACGAGGAAGAGGAUCGCCUGGAACCUGAUACCAAGUUGUCAAGGACCUCGGUGCCCAAGACAGCAGGACCUCGGUGCCCAAGACAGCAGGACCUCGACUACGUAGUUCGUAGUCUCGGUUGAUAGGAGCGCUAGGGUUUUUGCCUAACUGCUUAAUGGCGCAGGAGAAGGGGAUUAGGAGUAGAGGAAGAGGUAGGAGAUAAUGAUUUAUUGCUUGCGUCCAAGGGUGCAGAUUACAGGAUAUAUAAAGGCCUUAUGGGCUUCUAACAAACUAGGAAACUAACUACGCUUCUAACAAACUAGGAAACUAACUAUCCCUGGACUCUAGGAACCAACGCAGGAUCAGGACUCCUUGCCCCGAUCAUGCCUCGCCAGCCAUGGCCGUCCGCUGCUGCUCCUGGGCGCGCGACCCGCGCCUGUACGCAGCGCCCCAUAUGACAGUAACCAUUAUCUCAAAGGCAGUAUUUGUUCCAUGAUGGGUCAACUAAUAAAGAAUGACAAAUCAAAAGACAAUAUGUAUUAUAGAUGAUACAAAAGAUUGAUACCAAAUCAAAGGACUGAUUAAUCUGCGCCUCCCAUGACUACAUCUUCAAUAGCAGAAGAAGCUAAACCUUCAAAGAUACAUUUUGAAAUGCAAAUCAGUGCAUAAUAGUGGCAUCAAGCAACAACAGGUCAUGAUUUGGUUGGCAACUUGCAUGAUCAAUGUACUGUUUGCUUGACAUUACUGGUAUUAAUCUGAACACCUAAAUGCAGCAAUAAGAUAUAUAUCUGAAUGGCUGCUUCAUUCCUUCUUACGCUGCGCUAGCUUUAGAAUUUACUUGUGCACAUUAAUACUAGUACUGUAAGGCUGAUGCUUGAAUUCUUUUCAAAUGUGCAACAUCAUUUUAAAGCAUCAAUUAUAUGAUAUCAAUGAAACUACUUCCAUAAUUGGAGACAAAAACAUUUGGAUAGAUAGUACAGCUAGAUGCCUAGAUCAUGAAUGCGAAAUUCAACUGGACACAUAGUAACCUAAUGCCCUAGAAGGGGAUUUGGACGCCGGACAGGGCAGCAGCCCGCAGCGGCGCAACCUGCUGCUGCAGAAGGGGAUCGAAAGGGGCUUGCGGGAAGGAGGGCGGGGAGGGGGCGGGGGCCGAGGAUGGAGCUGGCCGGCCGGGUAGGCACGACGGCAGGCGGCGGCGGCGGCGGGCAGGACGCAGCCACAGAACCACGCCUCGUUCGUCCAAGUCGGGGAAAGGGGAGUCGGGCUGGCAGGCAGGCAACGAACAAAGGAGAUGGGCCUGCCUUACGCCCCAGGCCGCCUUCGUCCUAGUCUACAGGAGAUGGGCCUCACGCCCCAGGCAGCUGCCCGGCUGCCUGGGGCCUGUCUCCGCCCAUGAUGCUUGGGUUAGUGGCCGGUGUGGUGGCCGGGUCGUGUGAGUGCGUGUGCUGAUGUGUGUAGCUUGGGUAUAAAACGCCCUCCGUGUACUCAUUGUAAGUGCGCCGGUCUGUUGCCGCGCCACGGUGACGGUAUGUGCCGAGCCGAGGGGGAGGGGCCUAAGAAAAAUGUAAUCUCUGUCAGGACCGUGGUAUGCUGCCUGUGUGUUGUGUCCUUGUCCUCUGUGUUCUUGAGAGAAACUUUGAGAUAUGCGAGAGUUGUGCGAGGCAGCUCGAGCUAGAAGAAGAAGUGGCGUUGUGCGGAGGCGGCGCCAACAUACAUAUCUGAGACUAGAUUGUGAGAGGGCGAGACUAGAAAAUUACUCGCACUCUGCUGAAGUUGGGCUUAAAUAAUUCCCAGCUAAAUGAUGUCUUCGGUUGUGAUUGUCCAUUUUUGCAGGACCUAUGUACUUUGGACUUCUUAUUUUUGAGUUCUUUAAGCUGGACAUGAUACUGUGCAAAUUGGAAAAAAUAGUCUCGGAAAAGUAAAAAAAAAAACACUUUCACAAGGUGUUGGAGCAAACCUUUGAGUUUGAGCCGACGAGGUGAAGCACAAAAUCUCUUGAAAAACGUUUGGGGACGGUGCGUCCGCCGGUCGCAUACCACGCGCGCACCCCCCAACAAAUUGAAGCGCGACACGUAGGGUGCGGGGUCUGACCGCCACCCCUGCUCCUGUAUUCUCCAUUAUCUUGUCGCCCGAGACCACCUCGUGCUGCACUGCAGCUUUUUUCUUGCCGCAACCUCCUCGACUAUGCCUGACAACAUCUCGCUGAAGAUGGCUGCCAACCCCCUUCCCCGGAGCUAAUUCUUCCUUCGCGGGCGCUUCCCCUAUCCACGUUGUUUUCCUGCAAAAGCGAGCGAGGACGGAGGGAGGGGCGCUGCGAGGAGUUGCGACUACGGCGCGUGGCGACUGCGGGGACCUCGACGGCGGAAUGCUACGAUGGCCCGACAAGCGAUGUUGCAACCGUUGGAGCGAGUUGCUGGAACUAGGCGACGGAGGAGCGUUUCUGCUACUACGAGCGACAAAAAUUGUUACUAUCAGCGAUGUCAUUUGUUAAAUUAUUCGUGAAGAUGAUGCGGCCUAGACGACUGCGACAUUUUUUUUGCUGCAACUGCAUAGUUUUUUGCUACUACCGACUACAUGAUUUGCUACAUUAUUCAUGAAGAAGAUGCAACCCUUUGAUGUCGGCGACAACGUUGCUGCAACCACACAAAAUUUUUGCUACUACCAGAGACAAUAAUUUUUACCACCAUUCAAGGCGGUGACCAGCGACUGGAAAUCAGAGAAGUUGCAACUGGCNNNNNNNNNNNNNNNNNNNNNNNNNNNNNNNNNNNNNNNNNNNNNNNNNNNNNNNNNNNNNNNNNNNNNNNNNNNNNNNNNNNNNNNNNNNNNNNNNNNNNNNNNNNNNNNNNNNNNNNNNNNNNNNNNNNNNNNNNNNNNNNNNNNNNNNNNNNNNNNNNNNNNNNNNNNNNNNNNNNNNNNNNNNNNNNNNNNNNNNNNNNNNNNNNNNNNNNNNNNNNNNNNNNUGGGAGGAGGGGAGAACGGAGGCCCCGAAGGCCUGCUGCAACCGGGGCGUGGGGAUGCUACAAACAAGGCACCACGAAACGACAGUGAGCGGGCAUCGCCAUGGCCACAAAAUAGAUGGUGGCAGAGGGGGCUAUGACACGGGAGCUGCAACGAGGAGUCAAGGCGCAAGGAGAGGAAUCGGGGGUGCGAGCGAGACCAGAAAAUUACUUGCACUCUGCUGAAGUUGGGCUUAAAUAAUUCCAAGCUAAAUGACGUCUUCGGUUGUGAUUGUCCAUUUUUGCGGGACAUGUGUACUUAGGACUUCUUAUUUUUGAGUGUUUAAGCUGACAUGAUACUGUGCAAAUUGGAAAAUAGUCUCGGAAGAGUUAAAAAAGCAGUUUUACAAGAUGUUGGAGCAAAGCCUUUGAGUCUGAGUCUGAGCUGAGGAGGUGAAGAACAAAAUCUCUUAAAAAACGCGCCCAAGCUGUGGAGUUCGGACUGCACGUAGAGGAGAGCGGUGACCUAUCAAUAUCUGCGGCAAGCCGGAGUAGCUACGUCGGCAACAUGACUUGGUGGAAAGGCAUCACGACCAGCAUGCAUAUCGUUCUAUUCUCUAUUCAGGUAUCACCAACAUGACUCGGAACUGCUCUUUGAGUCCGUAGAUGAGUAAGAGAGAUUUGUAUGCCGGCAGUGGCGGAGCCAGGAAUUUUGUUUAGCCUCGGCAAAGUUGGCCCUACAACCUGAUCUCAAAAUGAACUACUAUACUCCCUCCAUCCCGAAUUACUUUCACGGAAAUGGAUGUAUCUAGAAUCUAGACGUAUGUUUAGUUCUAGAUACAUUUAUUUCUAUUCAUUUAUAUGACAAGUAAUUCGGAAUGGAAUGAGUAUAACAUAUCAAUAUAUUAGAACCUUCAAUACAUAUGCUCGCUUCACUUGGUCUUGAAUAUGAGGAUGAUACCCAGAAAUUUGUUUUCUCUUCUCCAUAUCACACUCAAUCUUAUAUUGGAAUUAACUCCAUUGGCAUUAUUAGGUGGUAGCAGUAACUCUACUUUUUUUUCUGUUGUUGACCAUUAACAUUUUCGUUGGUUGGUCCAUUGACAAAAAACCUCAUCUGUAAAAUUUAGUGAUUCAAGUUAACAUUCAGCUAUCAAGAAGAAAAUCUCUAAAUCAAAGGCUAGAUUAACAAAGUUGUGAUCAUUCUAAUGGAUAAUUCCCACAUACAUAUAACAAAACUGAAGCCCUAAAUCUAUGCAUCGGAUGGCCAGAUCAAUUCGUAAUUUUACCUAAUCAGGAAAGAGAGUGUUGACGUAUAAUGUGCUGCCUAGCCUCUUUCAUCAGAUCGGUCUUUUGGUUGCAUUGGCUAGAGCAUGCACUUCUAUAUGGUACCAAAGCCAAGAUGUUUUGAGUUCAAGACCCGGCUGGCGACCCACAUUUAGGCCUAAGAGAGCCACUUGUGAGGGGGAGUGUUGACGUAUAAUGUGCUGCUUAGUCUCUUUCAUCAGAUUCGCUAGAUUGGUUCAAGAUCCGGCUGGCGACCCACAUUUAGUCUCUUUCAUCAGAUUAGUUUUUUAGUUGCAUUCGCUAGAGCAUGCACUUCUGUAGAGAGGAUGAGUAGUAGAGAAUGCAAGCCGUUCCUGCCUGGAUCCAGCCGCUCCCCCCGCUGGCGGGGGCGAGUCCAGCUGCCAACGCUAGUCGCGGCUUGCUGCCAUUCACUCCACGAUCUGCAAUCGUGGGGUGAACAGCCGCCGAACAGGCUGGCAGGUGGAGACGAGAGCUCCUGUUCGGCGCUUAAGGCGCCUGAACAGCUACUCGCGCCUGAAGGAGACCUCGAGUGGGCCGGCCCAGAAAAUCUUCGCUCGAUCGCCUCCCAGCGAAACAGGGGUGCACGAACCACUACACCAUCCAACAACCCGUGUUCUAACCCCCUCAAAAAAUAGUCAUGUGUUCUAACUGUUCGUUUGAUUUCUAUUAUUCUUUUCUAGCUCGCAAAGCCCCCGGUCUGGUAAGCUUUCCAAACCAUUUUUUUUCUCUUUCUCUGUCAUGAUUUUGUUCGCCUUUUUUUCUUCCUUUUUUGCUAAAUACGUGGGAUUUUCUAAAAAACUCAAAGGAAAACUUCAAAAAAGGAAUGAAAGUUCAUUUUUUUUAAGUUCAUCAAAAUUGAAGAAAGUUCAUCAAAUUGGAGAAAAGUUCAUCAUAAUUAGAAAAAGUUCACUGAAUCUGAAAAAAAGUUCACUGCUUUUGAAGAAAAAUCAGCGGAUAUAAAAAAACUCAUCCAUUUCAAAAAGAAGUUCAUCAAAUUUGAAAAAAGUUCAUCUAAAUUGAAAAGAAAGUUCAUCGCAUUUUAAAAAGUUGAUCGAAUUUUAAAAAAAGUUCAUCAAAUUUGGAAAAAGAGUUUAUCGAAUUUGAAAAAAGUUCAUCGCAUUUGAAAAAGUUCAUCGAAUUUGAAAAAAGUUCAUCAAAUCUGAAAAAAGGUCAUUGAAUUUGAAAAUAGUUCACCCAAUUUGAAAAAUCUUCAUCGAGUUUGAAAAAAAAUUCAUCAAUUUUGAAGAAAACUUCAUUGAAUUUGAAAAAUUCCAUCGAAUCUUAAAAAAGUUCAUCCAUUUGGAAACAGUUCAUCGAUUUUGGAAAAGAAUCACGAAAUUUGAGAAAGUUCAUUGAACUAGGGAGAAGAAGAAAGAAAAAGAAAAGGUGAAAAAAAAGGGAAAGUUCAAAGAAGAAAAGAAUGAGAAGAGGUAGCUAAGCACGUGAAGUGUGGUGGCGUGGUGGUUGACUGGUAGUACUAGGAACAAGAACGUCGCCGGUUCGAUUCGCUGUAGACCCCAAUUUUUGCGUUUUGGAGAUCUAGAUAAGAAAGAGAUAGAUGGGCCGGCCCAGGGAGGACGAGGGGGUAUGCGCCCGUUUGGAAAAAUGCCUGUAACGGACGCUAAAGGCGCCGAAUAGGGUUUGCCGGUGGAGACCGUGGUGCGAUGGCUAUCGAGUAAACCAUGCGUUCCUCGCUUUCUAGGCCUAGGCCUGUUGCUAGUUCUCAUGAAGCCGACUAGCAAAAGAAGGCCGAAACAGUUUUGCCCGGGAAACCUUGACGUACAUGUGGAUUUCGUCAGCUGGAAAUGGGCAUCGUACAGCUUCGCGUAUGCAGCGAGCCCGGGCAAGUGCCCAGGGUCGCUGGGCGCUGUCUCCGCCCUGCCGGUAGCCCGGUACUGCACACCGUCACGUUUUGGAAUACAGUACCGCUCAAGUUCAUGAUGCAUCCAAUUCCCUAAUGAUCUCGUUCGGCGCUGGUUCUGUUCUACUCCCUCUGUCUGAAGAUACUUGUCCUCGAAAUGGUUGUACCUACACUUAAUUUAGUUAUAGAUGCAAUCAUUUUAUCCAUUUUUUUCGAGGGUACGCCAAAGGCGUACCUUAGCUUUAUAGAAGGACAUUUUAUCCAUUUCGAGGACAAGUAUUUCCGGACGAAGGGAGUACCUCCUAAACGACCAGAUCCUUUCCCAUACUUAUCCUCUCAGCUAAAAGCAGUGUUGUAAUCCAUCAACUCAUUAAGCAUGAAAGCACGCAUGCAAGUAUUUAUGCACUGGGUGUAGAUGGACGGAGCGACACAUAUUUUACAAGUGCCUCGAUAACCGCCUCCUCCUUCCUUCACAAAAAAGUUAGGGUUUCUGCCUCCCGCCGCAGCCGCCGCAGGUCCGCCUCCUCUCCGGUGGCCCUAGGGCCAUGGGGGCACGGUGGAUUUCGGCAAGGGUCGGCGGGAGGGCUUCGUUUUUAUUCGUUUCUUUCAGUUUUGCUAGGGUUUGUGUCCUGCUCAGGAAGACGAGACGGCGACGGCUUCCUGAAGAUGGGAUAAAGGUCUCCCCGCCUAGUCCCUGUUCCGGCGGUGCGUCUAGCACCGUUGUUGGGCGUGUGGAGGUGUGUCUCUGGCGGAUCUAUCUUUGGUGGAUUUGCUCGGAUCUUGUCGUUGUUCGUCUACGUUCCCGUGUCUUCGGAUUGGAUCUUUAUGAUCUACGUUAUUCUUCAUCUGCGACGAUUGCUCUUCUGGUGCGCUGGUCCUACGGGGCCUUAGCAUGACGACUUCCCGACUGUCUACUACGACAAGUUGUGUCCGACUCCGGCGAUGGAGGGGCGAUGACGGCGGUGCGCCUUCGGCUCGCUUCAGUGCUGGUAGUCGUCGCUAGGUGGUCUAUGGAUCUGGAUGUAAUUUUUAUUAUUUCUGAUUUUCGUUAUACUGCCAUGAUUGAAGAUGAAUAGAUCGGAAAUUUCUUAAAAAAAAAUGCCUCGAUAACCACAUGUAUUAUUAUUCAAGUCGUGAGUAUAGCCGACAUUUAAUAAAAGAACUGCAGUUGUGAUGACAAGAGAUCGAUAAAUAUGGCAUGCCCGAAUCCCAAAGAAAAAAUGAAAUAUUUUACAUGUAAAAUAUAUUGAAUAUCCAGCAGUUGGGAAAACAAUGCCAUGAUGCCAUGUUCAAACUAUGUACCAACGUUGUAGGCAUGUAAAUAUAUACCGAGUCACCUCAUCUGCCUACCGUUCAUUUAUACAUAUCUAGCAAACAACUUCAGAUUGAUCGAGUAGUGUUGUAUAAAGUCUAGCUAGGCAAUGAAAGCUUGCCCCUUGACAUCUCGCAUCUAGUGAACACUAGUAGAAAAAGGACCUGAUGUGAGACACAUUAGUCCCGGUUCGAUUUCGGUCCGGUACUAAUGGUAUCAUUAGUGCCGGUUCGAACGGCUAUGCAUUAAUGCCGGUUCGUUUUGACCCUUUAGUACCGGUUCGUGCCACGAACCAUACUAAAGAGGUGGUGGCAGGCUGGCGUCAGGUCGGGGCCCCGCGAUCACCUUUAGUACCGGUUCGUGGCACGAACCGGUACUAAAGGGUUUGACCUAUAGUCCCGGUUGGAGACACAAACCGGGACUAUAGGCCAACUUUCAAACUCUACCCCCACCCCCCAGUGUAUCACCAUUUCAGUUUUGAAAAAUACAAAAGAAAAUGAUAAAAAAUUCAAAAAAUAAAAUUCUUCGAGAUGUAGUUAUAUUACUACAUCUACUAGUUAGAAAAAUUAAAAAACUUAAAUUUGGACAUGUUUUGCAAAAAAGUGUAGGGAAAAUGUAAAACGGCUAUAACUUUUGCAUACGAUGUCGGAAAAAACGUAUAAUAUAUCAAAAGAUUCAGCACGAAAAUCGGCAUCCGAUUUUGACUGCCUACAGCCUGUUUGCAAUUUUUUAGAAUCCUCAAAUUCCAAAAGGAAAAAAAAGAUAUGCUCAAAUUUCAGUUUUUUUAGUUUUGGUUAAAUCUGGUCAAACUAUGGCUAAAUUAAUUAUUCAAGAAGUAUUAAUGUUGCUACAUAAUUAUUCAAGAAGUAUUAAUGUUGCUACAUAAUUAUUCAAGAAUAUUAGUGUUACUAAAUAAUUAUUUCAAAUUUUUGAAUUUUGGUCAAAUCUGGUCAAACUAUGAUCAAAUCUGGUCAAACUAUGCUCAAACUUAUUCAAGAAAUAUUAGUGUUACUAACUGCUUUUAGAAUAAUAGUUCCAAACUCAAACGGUAAAACGUGUGACCUAAUGCUCAAGCUAAACUGCUGAGGGUUAAUAGGAUUGACAACUUACAUCAGGAAAACAACAAGUGCAGACUUGGAAAGUAGGGGGAAUAGAACUCCGAAGUUAAGUUAAGCGUGCUCAGGCUGGGGGAGUGAGAGGAUGGGUGACCGGCCGGGAAGUUAGACGAUUUGGAAUGAGUGAUCCACACACUUGAGCAGUUAAGGGGGGUGAUUAGAGACUUGGUCAAACUGUGGAAUGAGUGAUCCACACACUUGAGCAGUUAAGAGGGGUGAUUAGAGACUAAAUCAUCAAAUAAUUCAAAAAAUUGAAAAUCGAAAAAAAUCAAAUAUUUUUUAUAAAAUUUUCAAAAAAAAUUUAAAAAAAUAUAUCUUUAGUACCGUUGGUAACACCAACCGGUACUAAAGGUCCCCCAUACCACGACACGAGUUCACGCCACGUGGUGGGCCUUUAGUGGCAGUUCGUGCCGAAUCGAUACUAAGGGGGGGGGGGNNNNNNNNNNNNNNNNNNNNNNNNNNNNNNNNNNNNNNNNNNNNNNNNNNNNNNNNNNNNNNNNNNNNNNNNNNNNNNNNNNNNNNNNNNNNNNNNNNNNNNNNNNNNNNNNNNNNNNNNNNNNNNNNNNNNNNNNNNNNNNNNNNNNNNNNNNNNNNNNNNNNNNNNNNNNNNNNNNNNNNNNNNNNNNNNNNNNNNNNNNNNNNNNNNNNNNNNNNNNNNNNNNNNNNNNNNNNNNNNNNNNNNNNNNNNNNNNNNNNNNNNNNNNNNNNNNNNNNNNNNNNNNNNNNNNNNNNNNNNNNNNNNNNNNNNNNNNNNNNNNNNNNNNNNNNNNNNNNNNNNNNNNNNNNNNNNNNNNNNNNNNNNNNNNNNNNNNNNNNNNNNNNNNNNNNNNNNNNNGGGGGGGGGGGCUUUAGUCUCCACCUUUAGUGCCGGUUGCAGAACCUGCACUAAAGGCCCUUACGAACCGGUUUUAAAACUCUGUUUUCUACUAGUGGAAGCAGACCGGUCAUGAAUUUUCGCAUGGCGCAAUCUCUUGGAAAUGCGAUGCAUCGAGGAUUUAACUUCAAGUUAGUUGACUCUAGAGGUUUAGGCCUUGUCCCAGAGUCAGCUGUACCUGAUUUUGGCGUGCACAUAAGGGUUGACGCUAUGCACGUCCCAUCGCCGUUGCACCCUAUGUUGGGUUGUUCCAUUUGCGAUGCUACCCAAACCUUAGAAGAACAUGACCUAGCUGGGCAAAACGUCCCCUCAUGGUGCCACUACUGUGCUUGUACCUGCAGUAACUGAAGUAUCUUAACUACCAGCGUGUCUGUGAUUUCCAUGUGGUUUCUGUAUUGUCGCAAUGUUAUGUCUUCUUUUUUUGGCGGAUCUUGUUGCAAUGUUUAUUUAACACAGUACAGACGUAGAUACUCAUACAUAUGCUUAUACACUCAUCUUCAUUAACACACCACUGGGUUGGGUGCAUGUUCGUAAUUAUGGGAGUUGAUCAUUUCUUUUCACAUGUACAUGCUAGUUACUGAACUGGAGGAUUUCAUGAAGAGAUAUUCUCAUUUGUGGGGCUAUAUUGUCUCUUUUUGCAUUGCCUACAAAUGAAAAUAUUUUUAGUCAAGUUUGUGGAUAUAUAGAGGAUAUCUCUAUGUACAUGUGAGAUUUUUUUCCAGUUUUGUGGAAGCUUCUAAAUAUUGUUUUAAAAAAUUCUGGGCGUCAUGGAACUAUGUCCUAUGUGCUAUAGUGUGGAGCUCGUAAUGCUGGCCACUGUCGCAAGGAUGGACAGAUUCAAUAUGUGAUAGCUCGGUAAAUAUAUAAUAAUACAUGUAGAGCAUUCACUAGUAGAAAAAGGGCCUAUUGUCCCGAUUCAUAAGGGCGUUUAGUCCCGGUUCUGGAACCGGGACUAAAGGGUCGUUACUAAAGCCUUCCCCUUUAGUCCCGGUUCUUACACGAACCGGGACUAAAGACCGUCCACGUGGCCGUUGCCUGGAGGUUCACAUUUAGUCCCGGUUGAUAACACCAACCGGUACUAAAGGGAAUUUUAUGAUUUUUUUUAUUUUUUUUGAACUUUUUUCUUGAUUUUUAAAUUUUUGAAUUAUUUUAACCUAUAAUCUCUAAUCACCCCUCAUCACUGCUUAAUUUAAUCUCUAAUCUUUAAUCACCCCUCAUCAUUCCAAAUCAUCUAACUUCCAAGAUGGUCAUCCAUCCUCUCACUACUCCAGCCUAAGCACACUUAACUUCCGGGUUCUAUUCUCCCUCAUUUCCAAGUCUGCAUUUGUUGUUUUCCUAACAACAGUAAGAUGUUAAUCCUAUUAACCCUCAGGAAUUUAGCUUGAGCAUUAAAUCACACAUUUCAGUGUUUGAGUUUGAAACUAUUGUUCUAAAAAACAAUAAUUAUUUAGUAACACUAAUAUUUCUUGAAUAAGUAGUUUGACCACAGUUUGACCAGAUUUGACCAAAAUUCAAAAAAACUGAAAUAAUUAUUUAGUAACACUAAUAUUUCUUGAAUAAGUAGUUUGACCACAGUUUGACCAGAUUUGACCAAAAUUCAAAAAACUGAAACAAUUAUUUAGUAACACUAAUAUUGUUGAAUAAUUAUUUAGUAACACUAAUACUUCUUGAAUAAGUAGUUUGACCAUAGUUUGACCAUAUUUAACAAAAAUUAAAAAAAACUGAAAUUUGAGCAUAAGUUUUUUUCCUUUUAGAAUUUGAGGAUUCUAAAAAUUUGCAAACAGGCCUUAGGCUGUCAAAAUCGGGUGCGGAUUUUUGUGCUGAACAUUUUGAUAUAUUAUACGUUUUUUCUGACAUAUUAUGCAAAAGUUAUAGCCGUUUUACAUUUUCACUACACUUUUUGCAAAACAUGUCCAAAUUUAAGUUUUUAAAUAUUCCUAACUAGUAGAUGUAGUAACAUAACUACAUCUCGAAGGAUUUUAAUUUUUGAAAUUUUUAUCACUUUCUUUUGCUUUUUACAAAACUGAAAAGGCGAUCCACAUGGGGGGGAGGGAGGGGUAGAGUUUGAAAAUGGGACCUUUAGUACCGGUUCGUACCACGAACCGGUACUAAUGGGCAUCGCACCCUUUAGUCCCGGUUCGUGGCACCAAUCGAGACUAAAGGUCCCAUUUGAACCGGGACUAAUGCCUUUACCGCAUGAACCGGGACCAAUGCUCACAUUAGUCCCGGUUCAUGACUGAGCCGGGACUAAUGGACUUAUCUAUCCCGAACGAAAGCCCUGUUUUCUACUAAUGAAAUGAUACACAAGCUUUGUGUAUUCCCGAAGAUCCAACAUGUUAAUUUCUUUCAAGAUUCCACCAUGAUACAUUAGUGUGAAAAACUAAAAAAAUGUGCAAGUUGUUCUAUAACAUUUGAUAUGUGUGAAAAACUAAAAAAAUGUGGAAAUGGAGAAAAUAAAAAACGUCCAAAAAUCGCAAGCCAUGGAUUUACCAAAACUGAAGCAAUCAAAUGUAUUCCUCAAAUUUCUUCAGGGUCAAUGUACUGGUACCAUUUUACACAUUUAAUUUUAUUAAUUAUUUUAACCCAUAGAAUGCACAAGGGAGCAUAGGUUUUUUUAUUAACUUGCAAUAUGCAGAUAGUAUAUUGUAAACUCAUAAAACACCUUUUUAUUCAUUUUUUAUAAGAUUACACCGUUCACUAAAUGAGUACAAUAGACUCAUGAGCGACGAGUUGCCCCCCCAGUUUUCAUGCUCAUAUACCACCUAUGAUAACUCUCGGGCGAGGUAAUAACAACCUUUAAAACCGCUUCUAUAAUGUGUCGGCAGAAUACCUGCUGUUUCCUCAAAAAUAAAUAAAUCCUGCAGCCUGCACUUCCUCUUUCAUGAUAUUGACCACCUCCACAUUAUCUGAGAUGAAAGAUGAUCAGAAGUGCAGAACUCAGUGGCAACCAAUAGAUUCAGCUAAAAACAGUCCCUUCUAGCGACCAAGCUUCGGCGGAGCAAGCAUCACAUUAUGUAUGGUACACAUCAGGGGCGUCAAAUGCAUCCCAAUGGGACAAUGCAGGCGUGCCCCUUAAGGGGUGGAUUAAAUCCCAUACAAGUCAAAAUCUCACUCAUUCCCCUCCUAACCUCUUCAAUCCCCUUCAGAAGAGGUUUAACCGAACAAGGCCUAAGUGAAGUGUCCAGGCUAUAUCAGAGAAAAGGAUCUUACAGAGAUGUUGUACACUCGUACCACUCAAAUCCUCGAUGCAUCCUAUUCUCUAAUGAUCUUAUUGGGCAUUAGGUCACCGGUUCUGUUCUACCUCCUCAACAUCUAGAUCCUUUUCCAUUGUUAUCCUCACAACCAAAGUUGCUGUGCAUGCCAUUGAGCAUGGAAGCGCCCAUAUAUUUAUGUACUGGGUGUAGAUGGCCGGAUGGAUAUAGGUUGUACUACCUCAGUAGCCACAUGCGUUGUUAAUCUGUUAUCUAGUAGGACUUGAGUGUUCACGCCGUGAGUACAACCGACAUUUAUAAAAGCUCGCAGUUGUAUGCCAAGAGAUUGAAAAUGCACAUAAUCUUAUUUAUGGGAUUGUAUUUGUCUCUUUUUGCGUAGCCUACAAAUGAAAAUAUUUUUAGUCAUAGUUUUUUUUUCCGCUUGAAAGCUUCUGAAUUUGUUUUUUAAUUGGGCUCCAUGAAAUCCGUGGCAAGGAUGGAUGGGUUGAAGAUGAGAUACCCCGGUUAAUAUGUAAAAAUACAUAUUUGUAGAGUAUUAAAUCCAACCCAACAUGCUAAUUCCUUUAAAAAUUCCAUCGCUAUUUAUAAAACUCGAUAACCUGUCGCAUUCUUGGCACAAAGUCCAACUGCAGCCAAGAAAUGCAACCAAAAGGCCAGAUGAACUAUCUGAAGGAUUUUUUUCUAGUAAUUAUCUGCUAAAGACGUUGUCAACGACUAUCUUCAUGUUGUAUUAUUUUACACUCACCCUUUGUUUAGGUAACCGUUAAGGAGCAUCAGAUGAACGUAUGCCGACCAAGGUAACGCCAAACAUGAUGAACCGAGCAAUAUGACUCCAACCCGAACAAACUGAGAACCAGCCUCCCCAACGACCUGCUAAUAGGCCACCGACAACACACCAAAAGUGGUCGGAACCUGAAAGCAAUGACCGUCCACUGGCCUAGCAACAGAGAAGGAGAGGUGCCCGACAUAAUCCAAACCAGCGCAUGCUAGGAGCAUCUCCAGCUGCCCCCCAACAGCCCUCAGGGCGCCUUUUUUAUCGCCGGUGCUGAAAAAAAGGCCCAACCGCUUCCCCAGAUUCUCGUUUUUCGUCGGUUUGGAUCAAAAUUACAACCGGCGAACCCAAGCGGAACCCAGCGCACCGGGGGCCGCCUGGGGGCACCGACUGAAGCGAAAAGGCACAUGGGCCCGCGCUAUCAGUGACACCGGUUGAUUUUCCCGCCGUUUUCCCCUUUCCCUCAAUUUUCCCAUUGCCGACCCCCUUCUCCCCCGCCGACCCCGCCAUUCUCUCCAGAUCCGCCAGCCAUGCCGUCGAAGAAGUAUGCGCCCCCUCGCCUAGCCACCAAUUUCGUACAGCCAAAGCAGAGGAAGCCAAGGGCACCGAUGCCAAGGCCCCCGGGCUUGACGAAUGCCUAGUGGAAGGCCGACUUUGAUCGCCGGGCAGUGGUCACCACCGACCGGCGGAACAGGCUGAACAUAAAGAAGGUCAGGGACGCGGCGACGGAGCAAGAGGAGGAGGCUCGUGCGGGGAUGGCGAACCUUCCGCCUCAAUAGGCCGGCCAGUGCCCACAAGGCGCGUGGGGGAGCCAACAAAGCGUCGCGUUGUCGGCCAACUUCUCGUCUCCACUAUGAGGGUACGCGCCCUUGCCUGGGUACGUCGAUGGUGACGCGCAUGGCGGCUUCAACCCCAACAUCACCUUCUCGCAUGGUGCGGCGCUGCANNNNNNNNNNNNNNNNNNNNNNNNNNNNNNNNNNNNNNNNNNNNNNNNNNNNNNNNNNNNNNNNNNNNNNNNNNNNNNNNNNNNNNNNNNNNNNNNNNNNNNNNNNNNNNNNNNNNNNNNNNNNNNNNNNNNNNNNNNNNNNNNNNNNNNNNNNNNNNNNNNNNNNNNNNNNNNNNNNNNNNNNNNNNNNNNNNNNNNNNNNNNNNNNNNNNNNNNNNNNNNNNNNNNNNNNNNNNNNNNNNNNNNNNNNNNNNNNNNNNNNNNNNNNNNNNNNNNNNNNNNNNNNNNNNNNNNNNNNNNNNNNNNNNNNNNNNNNNNNNNNNNNNNNNNNNNNNNNNNNNNNNNNNNNNNNNNNNNNNNNNNNNNNNNCGCGCAUGCCCUCCCCCACGUUCACUGCCGGCCUCAACACCCAGUAUAGCUACUCGCCGUUGACAUACUCAGGCUCGCCCACGCCGACUCUGCGUUGUGGGGUCCUACCCUUCGCACACGGCUCGACACCAUAGUUCAGCAGCACCGACGCCGACAUGGACGAGAUCAUCACGAAUGGCUCAGUCGCCGCUGCUUCAUGCCCCGAGUUCAGCAUGCAAGACGAAAUGCUGGACGCUGCCGUCGACAUGGAGAACGUCGAGCACGACGAUGCCGAGAAGGAGGUGGAGGAGGAAGAACCAAUGGAGCCAGCGGCCCAAGGGAGAAAGAAGAAGCGAGCGACCAAUGCCAAGUCGGGCGAGCCUUGCGUCAAGUGGAUGCCAAAGGAAGAUGAGUGCCUCGCCGAAGCAUGGAACACUGUCAGCAUCGACCCGACCACCCGCGCGAAUCAGAACACCGACACCUACUGGAGAAGAAUCAAGAUGGUGUUCGAUGAGCGCAAGUUGGUCGACCCCGACUUUGCUAGCAUCCACAUUGGAUCACAGCGAGAAGGCCAUGGCGAACCAUUGGGCGACCAUCCAGCUGACAUGCAACUAGUGGCAUGGGAUUCAAGAGGAGGUCAUGGCUCGCCAGGAAAGUGACGCCAACUUUGAGCGUUAGGUAUGGCCAUCGCUUGCCGGCCUAGCUCUUCGCCAUGUACUUCGUCGACACUUGUUCUUCGACUGUGCAGAUGGUUCGGAUUUUUGACAUGUUUCACCAAGACAACAACGACCAAGAGUUCAAGUUCCUUCAUGUGUUCACCAGGAUCGAGUCGUGCGAGAAAUGGACAGAGUGUCGGCUCGCUCUCGCCAAGGCCAAGGAUGGUGUCUACAACCCGGACGUGCCUGCCUCGGCGGCGGCAGAAGGGUGUCCUGAUGGCAACAAAAGAGCCAAGGCAGCGAGGUACGCGACACCCACUGCCGAACGGCUGCAACAAAAGAGCAACGCCGCCAAGAGGGAGGAGAAAUACGAUAAGAGGUGGUCGGCAUUGAUGAUGAAGCAGGACAUCAAGCUCGACCUUCUCAGGACCAACGUCACCGUGAAGAAGAGGAACACCGACCUGGCGUUCCUGAUGGGAGCAGACAUGUCGAUGAUGGACGAGCAGGUGAAGGCGUGGUACCUGGCGGAGCGUGGCCUCAUCUUGAACCAGAUGUCGGGACCGGCGGCGACCACAGCCCCUAUGCCCACGCCCACGCCCACGACUACGCCUAUGCCUAUGCUGACGCCAACGCCGAGCACUGAAGCUGUGCCCGCAACACCGACGCUGACCUCUCCCAGCCCUAUGGCAGAGGAGCCUGCCGUUUGAGUUCCACUAUGGUUCCUACCAAUGUUUUAAAUAGCGGGCUAUGAAAAAUAGCGGCGCGUUUCCAAAUCAUCUAUAGCGUGCUAUUUGUGAAGGCGACCAUUUAGCGGCACCCUGCUGAAAAGGCUAUAGAGGAGCUAUAGCCGGCUAUUUAAAACUGUGGUUCCUACCCUUUUGAUCAUGGAACUUUGGCUAUGUUCAAUCGUCGACCUGUGACAUGAUGAUCGCCAAACUUGUGUCAUUUUUUUGGUAGCGGGAAAGAUAACUUUGAAUUUUUAUGCAUCUAGGGGCCAAAACCUGGGGGCGCGGCUGGAAACUCACUCCCCCAGGCCGAAAAAACCGCUGGCGCAAACGCCCAAAGCCCUUUGCCGGAUGCGCUGAGGGACCAAACGGCUGGAGAUGCUCUAACAACUGAAUAAGCCGUGGAGCCGGCCACUCGGCAGUCCCUGACACGUGUACCCUCGCCCUGCGUGUGCUGCCCCAUGUGUUGGUGGUGGGGCCUGAUGUUUAUCAAAACAAGCCAACUUUUGGCAAUGGAUCAUCUAUCCUUGAUUAGUGGGGACCUCCCAAUGGCGAUACUACAACUGGUAGAGGAGCUUCUGGCAAUAAAUCCUCUAUCCUAGGCCAGAGGGGUGCUCCUCCUGCCGACACUACCGCUGGUACCGGGGGAGGACAAUGGGGAAAGAGCAAGGAAGAUAGCUGUAAUUCGUCAAAGGGAACCGGAGGCUCAGGUAUGACGACUGAGGAUCCUUGACUUCAAUGACUGAAAAUGACUCAAUUUUGUUUUAGCCUCAGUGCUUUCACCUAUUUUUGCCCCCUCGCAUCCAUCAAUUUUCUCCCGCUUCAGUAUGUUCAAUGUCUUUGUCUAUUGGACAUUUUUUAUGCUAAUUUUACAAUCCAUCAAAGCGCUGAGUCUUUCCCAUGCCAUCUUAGAAGUUGGUUUGAAAAAGGAAGGAUCAUGGGGCAAGGGUGAAGGGAGCGGGAGCCAAGGCGGUGGUGGCAGCCGUUCCAGGGACAAGGCGAGUGGUGGUGGAUGGGACAACAAUAAGGGCGGGGAUGCCGACAAUGGUGCACUACUGGAAUUCUGUGCUAUGCCGAGUGCCACGGACACUCGGCAAAGGGCCGAAAACCGCCGGCAAAGCCUUUGCCGAGUGUCACCCUCGGCAAAAGCCACCCGGCGUACACCUCUUUGGCAAACAGGAGUUUGCCGAGAGCCAGAAUGCGGGCACUCGCCAAAGACUUUGCCGAGAGUCAAACAGUAUCACUCGGCAAAAUAAAGUAGCUAACGGAUAGCAGACGCGGCGGUUCCUGACACGUGGGACCAGGGGGAGCAGGCCGAGGGCCAUCUUUGCCGAGUACCACUCUCGGCAUAGACAGCCAGUAGGUGGCUAACACGUGUCAGCUCCUGACACGUGGGACCAGGCGAACAGGCCGAGGGCCAUCUUUGCCGAGUGCACCUCUCGGCAAAGACAGCCAGUAGGUGGCUGACACGUGUCAGCUCCUGACAUGUGGGACCAGGUGAACAGGCCGAGGGCCAUCUUUGCCGAGUGCGCCUCUCGGCAAAGCCAGCCAGUAGGUGGCUGACACGUGUCAGCUCCUGACACGUGGGACCAAGGCAAACAGGCUGAGGGCCAUCUUUGCUGAGUGCCCCUCUCGGCAAAGACAACCAGUAGAUUGCUGACACGUGUCAGCUCCUGACACGUGGGGCCAGGCAAACAGGCCGAGGGCCAUCUUUGCCGAGUGCCACGCUCGGCAAAGACAGCCAAUAGGUGGUUGACACGUGUUAGCUCCUGACACGUGGGACUAGGCGAACAGGCCGAGGGCCAUCUUUGCCGAGUGCCACUCUCGGCAAAGAGUGCCAACUUUGCCGAGGGAUGUUCUCGGCAAACUCUAUAUUUGCCGAGUAUAACUCCCGGCAAACUCAGCCAAUAGGGGAGGGCCACGUCACUUCUCCUAAAAGCCGUGAAAAUAGUUUGCCGAGAGCCACCGUCGGCAAUUCUUUUUUCCUUUACUGAGAGUCCUCUUGGUAAAGUUGCCAGGAGGGCUACAUGUUAUUAUCCUUUACCGAGAGGCCUCUCGGUAAAGGUGCCAGGAGGACUACAAGUUAUUAUCCUUUAUCGAGAGGCCUCCCGGUAAAGGGUGCGUUCUGGUCUAGUUUCACAGUCAUUGCCGAGAGCCGCCCUCAGCAAUGGUGUGCCCAGGAGCCUUUUUUCCCUGUUUAUGUUUCUUUCCUGCAGCGAAACAUAUACAUCAGCAGCAUAUAGUUCAUCACAAUAGAACAUGUCACAUAUAUGCAUCAUUGAACAAAAGAAGCAACGAUUGAUUCUGAAAAACAUUCCACAUAAAAGCAAUAACAUCAAAGCAAUAGACCACAAGUUUACAAGUCUCAAGAUGCAAGAGUUCUCAACAUACAAGGAACAAUUUCAAACAUAACAUGAAGUUCACGCGAUUUUGGAGAUCAGAGUGAUAACAUCGACAUUAGAAGGCAUCAUUCCGUUUGCUGCCCCAACUCCAUCAACCGGAGUGAUAACAUCAACAUUAGAAGGCAUCAUUCCCUUUGCUGCCCCAACUCCACCAACUUAAGGUGGAACUACCAGAACAUUGUUCGACCCUUGUGAUGGGUUGAGCUGUGAUGGAUUGACCCAAUAGUGAGAUGAAUGCAUAUGGUAAUGCCGAAAAUGGUGAUAGAAAUAGUUUGAACAAAACUCAAAAUGUUCCACUCUGGCGCCGGUGGCAUCUCUGGCACUGGUUGGCCUUGCAUGGAAUAAAGAUUGGCCACCAUAUGUUGUAAAGACUUCACUAGAUCAUCUUGGCCUUCAGCUUGGCCCGGUUUUCAUCUCGUUCUUUCUCGGUGUCAAUCAGUCGAGUCUACAAUAUGGCAAUGCAAAUGUCAUUCAUGUUGAAAUGCAAAUAUCGUCAAUAAUGAAGAAGGAUCAAUGAAGAAGGACCAUAAAGGAUCAAUGAAGAAGCACUGACCUGAAUAUCCUCAAUAAUGCUCACGGAAUGUGGUACAUGACGCUCUACGGUAGGAGUAGAGCCAGUACUUAUAGCACGGAGCGUGUUGACUCUCGGAAGGGAGGAGGUUAUGACAAAAUCGAGGUGAACCGCCAUCCAGCCAUUCGGUCUACCGCCUGCCGCGACAAUGGCCACAAGAGGGUCAAACGGUAGCACGUGAGGAUCAACGUCAGGCCCGUACUUCUCCUUCAAUUUUUUGGUGUAGUUCUCUCCAUCUGACCGGGCUUUAGAGCUGAUCCAGUCCAUCUCCGGGUGGAGAGGGUCCUUGUCCUUGUCGUCUUUGGUACGUUUGAUGGUCCAUGCCUCGAAGUAAGUGAUAUCCUUGCCAGUGUCUUCUUUCUACAAAAGAAAGUGAUCCAAACAAUCAAGGGAAUGCUCACAAAUGAAAGAGAACAUGAUGAAAAGAAAAGGAUGUGGUUGCCUACAUGUUUUGAGACGACACCUGGCAUGGUGAGGUUGCCUUGACGGUGUCCUCGACCCCCAUCAACUUACGCCAUUCAGAUAUUACUUUGUGUUCAUCCUGCUACCCUGGAUCUGUCCACCGUUCGACGAUCUUCUCCCAGCACGGACGUUUGUCAGCGCACCACCGGGGAAUCACAUGCAAAUUAAACAAAUACAUCUUAGUAAGGAUUCUAAUUUUGCCGUAGUGUAGGAAAUAUCAAGCAUCCAUCAUCACUUGCCUUGAAGUAAUUGUCCCGUGAAAGAUGCGUCCCUCGAGCCUCCUGUUUGGAAAUCCUAUGGUUGAGAUAGUCCGCAUGAUACUUGACCACUAACCGGACGCGCUCCUCAUAGUGCAUGUCGUGGACUAGUUUCUUGGCAAUAUUCUCAACCGCCACAUUUGCACGAUCCUUCUGACCCUCAAUGCAUGUAUAGAAAUCCUACAAACAUGCAUACAUGUGAGAAGGGUUAAAUCAUGACUAUGGCAAAUUUAAACCUUUUGGUAUUGACAUUUAGGUGUUUGAAAGGACUUACCCAUAAAUCGUUGACCACUCGCAUGGCUCUAUUAUCAAAAACUCUCUGACGCAUAUCCAAGAAAUCCGGUGCAAGUUUGUAGUGAUCCCAUGACCAAGCUGGCUCAAUGAUACCGUUCGGCAAAGUGACCAGUCCAGGAUAAUUUAACCUACAAAGACCCCCAAUGAUGCCACUCGGCGACCGUGGCAGACGCCUCUCACCACCUUUUACUAAGCUUCUGCAUUUCGAAGAGUGAAGUCAUAUUAUAUGUGAGGAAAUGACAAAAGGUACAAUUUAUAUGGGAUGAGUCGAGAUAACCACUUACUUCUCUCCCAUUGGUUUAAUCAACACGUCUCUAUGCACAUAUGGACGUCUUGGAAGCUUUGAAGGACCAUGCAGCCACACUUUCCCUCUGGAAGUAGUGCUGAUAGUCGAACCGCUCGGUUGCAAACCGCUCACCUCAUGGUGCUCUGUCACCCGUGAGGGUCCAUCCCCACCCUCAGAAACCUGACGAACAACCAGCCUCCUCUCGGCGGCGUCGUCCUCCACCACCUCCUCCUCCUCAUCCUCCACCACCUCCUCCGCAAAAUCCUCCUCGUCCUCCUCCUCACACGCCUCAUACCCAUCCUCUGUUUCCUCCUCCUGAGCACGGUGAAGCACUGCAUCAGAGGGUCGAGGAGAAGAAAGAGGUGCUCUACUCCGGGCUGCUUUACGUACUCCUCAUCCGCCUCCUCCUCCUACCUCACCUACUCCUCCUCCUCGUCCGCCUCCUCGUCCUGCCUCACCUACUCCCCUUCCUCGUCCGCCUCCUCAUCCGCCUCCUCCUCCUGCCUCACCUACUCUCCCUCCUCGUCCGCCUCCUACUCCUCCCCCGCAUGGUACUCGACCUUGUUUCGCACAUUUUUCCGAACAGGUGUCUAGACCCGCCAAUCCUUUGGCCUUCUUGGCGGUUGUGGCAACCGGUGAAGGAGCGACCACCGCUUUCACCGGUCGAGCAGGUUGAUCAUUGUAUAGAUCAUUCACUUUUUUCAAACUUUCCUUUGGAAUCUUCUUGCUACCUGUCAUGUUUCAAUCACCUGAUACGAAGAAGAACAAACCAGUUAGUAUAGAUGAUACAACUUGAUGUAAAUAUAAUAAAUAUAUCACAUAUGAAGAAUAAAUGAAAUUGUCACAAUAAUACAUAUAGUUGUUACACACAUAAAUACAUAGAGUUGUUGCACACACGAAUACAUAGAGUUGUUACACACACGAAUACAUAGAGUUGUUACACAGACGAAUACAUAGACUUGUGACACACAUACAUAGAGUUCUCACACGAUUACAUGGAGUUGUUAGAAAUAAGGGUCAAUAUUAGGUGCAACAUUUGGAUCAGGGCUUUCAUCAUCGCUAUCACACCCGUUCAUACAUUCAUCCUCAAAGUCUUCAGGGGGGCCCUCAUCCUCAUCUAGCCCCAUGUGCCAUCCCAUAAGUAAUGCCAAAUCUCGAGGGUCAGAAACAUCCUCGUAUUCGUCCUCUGCAUUAUCUACUUCCAUGUCAUCCAUGGCCUCAUGUUCCAUAGCAUCAUGUUUGUGAUGCACGCCAUCAUCUUCCUUUGCAUCAUCUUUGUCUUCGUCAGUGUCUGCUUCUUGAAAGAACUCCCCCUCGUAUGUGUUAGGGUUUAUAUGGUAAUCAUCCUUGUUUGUGGUAGGUACCUUGAUACGCGGGGUACCUUGUACACGACAUCCCACUUCAAGAGAUCGAUAUAUUUCGUAGAUGUGCACGCGUAUGGGAGAAAAAACACUUGUGUAACUUGUUGAGCCAUAAUAUAGACAUCAUUUCCUGCAUAUUUCGAUGCUUGUUCAACUUCGACAAAGCCAAUACUAGGGGUUUGUCUCACUUUCUCAGGAUUGAGCCAGCUGCAUCUGAAUACGAUGGGCUUCACUCCUUGUAAACCACAAUACUUCAACUCAUAAAUUUCUUCGAUGGUUCCAUAGUAGUGACGUCCAUCUGUCCCUAGACAAUAGACCGCACUAUUUAUUGACCUUCGGUUGGGCCUCUCACGCGUGUGUUUAUCAGUGUGGAAGCGAUACCCAUUCAUGUCGUAAGCCUUAAAUGACUUGGCCUCGUAUUCAAAACCUUUGGCUACUUCUCUCACUUUGGCGUCCAUAUCAACCUCCUGAUAUGCCUACAAGAUUAAUAGGAAAUUGUCUGGUUCAUUAGUGGAAGCAUUACAGGCAAGUAAGAUCAACUUGAAGUAACAUAAAGUUAGAAAAGUUACUUUUCUUGAGAACCAAGAAAUGAAACCGCCAUUAGCAUUGGUAUCUUGAAGAAGGUCUGCUAAUUCUUCGUCGCGGAGGCCAUGGUAGCUUCCAAAAUUCGUUAUGGAAUUCCCUAGCAAUAGGAAGAAUUCAAGUUAGAACUCAAGACUAGUGAGUAGUUGUCAAUAAAGGUGUUCUACACUUACUUUAUGUACGGUUGCACUUCUUCCAUGUUGGUCAAGACAUAGAUCAUAAUAGUCGACCACUCAGUAGGUGAAAAGUUCUUGGGCUUCGGUCCACUUGCUUUGCCACCUUGGCCUUCGAAGAGGCUAAGGUUGGAAACAUUACUAGUGGGUUCUUCAUUGUAACGAGGAGCUGGAUUUAACCUAGUCUGAAUACUGUCAUGAUAGUACUUUGUCAUGGUCGUGGCUACCUCCUCGUUCAGGUAUGCCUCGGCUAUGGAGGCUUCAAUGCGGGCUUUAUUCUUACAUUUCCCACGAAGAUGCUUGAACUCCCGUUCAAGUGCAUACUGCCAUCGGAACUGCACAGGUCCUCCCAUUCUAGCCUCAUACGCGAGAUGUAAGAUCAUAUGUUGCAUCGGAUUAAGGAAACCUGGCGGAAAUAUCAUCUCUAAGUUGCAUAGCAACUCAGGUGCUUGUUCCUCCAACUUUGCAACCACUUCAUAAUCUAGUUCUUUGGCACAAAGCUGACGGAAGAAGUAGCUCAACUCCGCCAGCACUCGCCAAAUAUCCUCUCUGACAUACCCUCGAAUCAUCACAGGCAUUAUCCGCUCAAGCCAUACAUGGUAGUCAUGACUCUUGAGGCCUCCUAUUCGCUUUGUAGCCAUAUUCACUCCCCUCAUGAUAUUAGCUGCAUAUCCAUCAGGGAAGUACAAGUUGUUCACAAUCCAUUGGAGAAUUUCCUUCCUUUGGGGCAUUGAAGGGGUGAAAGGGGCUGGUGGCUUCUUCCAAGAAUUACCUUUUGCACGAGGCACCAAAUUUAAUUUUGGCAUGUUGCAUAGUUUGGCUUGAUCGAUCCUAGCCUGAAUGUUAUCCUUUGACUUCUCGGUGUCGAGGAGCAUGCUGAGUAAGGCCUCCGCAAUAUUCUUUUCAGUGUGCAUUACAUCAAUGUUGUGUGGAAGUAGAAGAUCUUUAAAGUAAGGGAGCCUCCAUAAGCUUGGAAUGUGUGUCCACUGGUGUGUCUCUCCAUAUCCCACAAAACCUUUCCCAUCGAGCUUUUCCUCGAGAGCAUCUAACUCAUCCUUAAGAUGGGCACCGGUCAUAAUAGGUGGUGGCAGGUCAUCAACAAUAACACCUUUUUGGAAGUGCAUAGCGUCUUGCCUGUAUGGGUGAGCAACACGAAGGAACUGCCGAUGUUGGUCAAAGCAUACAUACUUGUGACCCUUAGCCAGCCAAAUGAAAGUCACACGCUUUCGACACACUGGGCAAGGCCACCUCCCCUUUACACACCAACCACAAAAUAUCGCACGUGCUGGUAGGUCAUGUAGCGAUGUGUGGUACCAGAUAUGCAUAUUGAAGUGCUUCUUUGAAACGGCAUCGUAUGUCCGGACCCUGUUGUUCCAAGCAACAAGUAAGUCGUCCACCAAUGGCUCCAUAUACACACUCAUAUGCUUCCCGGGAUAGUUAGGACCUGGAAUUAUCAACGUCAAGAACAUGUGAUGUCGUUGCAUGCAAACGCCAGGGGGCGGAUUCAGGAGGAUAACAUAUACUUGCCAACAACUAUAUAUGGCAGCCAUCAAACCAUAUGGAUUGAACCUAUCGGUUGUUAUCCCAACAACUACACUCUUCCAGUCAUCUGUUUUCUUAUGAAUUUCAACAAAUUUCUUCCAUGCUUCACCAUCCCGUGGAUGUUGCAUCUUUUUUGUAUUGUACAUCUUCCCUUCGGCGGCCCAUCUCAUAUAUUGGGCAGUUUCCUCGGUCAUAUAAAGCCUCUGGAUCCUUUCUGUGAAUGAAAGAUAUCGAAGGAUAUUGACGGCAAUUGUGAGCUGCCUCUUGCUACCAUCAUCAUCUAUUACCUCAAUAUACCUAGAGGAUUUGCACUUGACACAAUAAUUCAUAUCUUUAUGUUCAUUUCUAAAUAGCAUUCAUCCGUUUGGACAAGCAUGUAUUUGCUCAUACGACAUCUUAAGUGAACCGAGGAUUUUGUUCAACUCGUACAUGUUCUUUGGCAAUAUAUGUUCUUUAGGCAACAGGCUAGCAAUAACUGACAAUAACUCAUUGAAGAAAAUUAUGCUCAUGUUAUGGUUUGCCUUUAGGGCCAUUAGGCGUGCAAUGCCAUCUAGUUGAGUAACCUCUGUAUGGGCGUGAAGGGGUUUUUGUGCCGCAAACAAAGAUGCAUGAUACUCUUCAGGGCUUUUCGGCGGCUCCUCGGAGUUCGGGUCCUCUCGUGGAUCCGCACGGCGGAUGUCAUCUAACAGGUUUUCAAUCCGAGUAUCAUAUUCGCCGGUGCGUUGUCGCACCACCUCCGCCCUAGACUGUUCUGUCUCACCGUGAAAGAUCCACCGGUAAUAGCCUGGUGUAAACCCAUAUUUGCCUAAGUGUUUACUCAUAGUAAUCUUAUCUCUUUCAUUCUGGUUAUCACACUCCGUGCAUGGGCACCAAAUUCCACGAACUGGCGUUUCUCCAGCAAAUACUAAUUCCAGGAAAUCAUUGGUCUUCGACCUCCACUCAGGGGUCAUACCCUCCAUGCUGGGAUGUCCGGUGUACAUCCACUCACGUUCUUCCAUCCUCUGAUAUAAAGUGAAACACACAAUAAUUUUUUUUAUGUAACAAGUGGUUCCAUCAAGUUUUACGACAUGCACUGAGCUAUGUAAUAGGUAAAGAUAGGUCCUAAUCCCACCCGAGAAUGUGUAGGCUGGGUCCGCUUUCAUGACGUACUCCGACCCGAGACAAAAUUUCAGCAGCACCUCCCCAUGUUCUCCAAAUACACGUCUCAACAAUAAGCCAAGAGGAUGUGUAUCUAGAGAACAACAAGGAGACACUGUCGAAAUUCUAUCUCGGAUCUUAGUACAUCAUGAAAACGGCCCGCCUACACAUCCUCAGGUUGUCCAUGGAAAACGUGGACAAUUCAAAAGAGUUGAGGGUAUAAAUAUGCAAAGACUUGCAUAUUUAUAGAUACAACCCUUCCGAAUGGGAGACACCUAGGUUACGCGACUAUUUAGGUGAUCUACAAAUAAUGAAAACCUACACAUGAACGGGAAGAGAUUACCCUUGAAGCGUGCAACGGAAUUCACUCUCUCUUGUCAAAAUAGAUGCAUGUCCUGCAUGAAAGAAUGAAGUUGUGUCAAUCAUAUGCCAAACACACAAACAUCAAUAACACUCACACACACCCCACACACAAACACACUCACAUAUCCAUACACACACAUCACACACUCACUCACACAUGCACACACACAGUGGCACGCGCCGGCUCUCGCAGCGCCAACCGCGCCUCCCGCGCCCACCCCAGCGCCGCAGUGGCCGUACUGGCCCGCGCCGGCCCCGGCCACGUCAACCGCGCCGGCCGUGCUGGUCCAGCUAAUCAAGCAAAGAAGCAAUCAUUAUUUGCUCGGCUUCCCUUAGGGAGCUGGGAGACCUAACCCUAGUCGCUUCUUGCGCCGCCGCCGCCUCUCCCUCUCGCGCACGACGGCGCCUUGCCGCCGGCGACCGCGAGCUUUGCCACGUCCAGCCCCCUCCUUCCCCUAAAACCUAUGCCCUAGACCCGUUAGGGUCCCAGCUCCUACCACUGACACACACACAUACAAAGCACACACUCACACACAUUAUUCACUAUAUAUGCAUAUAGAUACACCUUUUGUUGUAGUGGAGAGGGGGGAAACCCCUUUUAUUUCAAAAAAACGAGAUUGCGUAGGAGGGCUCACCAACGGGGCAGGGGGUGGCGGGGGAGGUGAAUGCCGGACGAGGUAGAGCUCAUUGGAGGGGAUGCCGCGCCGGUGGUGCUCGCUGAAGCUUGGCUGAGAUGGUGGCGGUGGACGAGCUCGGUGGAGGUGGCUGUGGGGGGGGCUCGGUGGAGGUGGAGGGGCGGGGGAGGCACUCCGGUGGCGGCGGCGACGGCAGCAGAGCUCACCGGAUGGGGCGGCGGCACUAGGGGGCGGCGACGGACAGAGGGGGCGGGGGCGAGAGAAAUAGAGAGAGAGAAGAGAGGAGUGAGCGUGCGCGAGGGGGAAAUUUUGCAUAAGUCCCCGCGGGAAACAUUUCCGAGAGCCAACAUUUAGAGACACUCGGUAAAAGUCUUAACCUAGAUCUCGGGGGCUUUUCCGAGAGCCGCACCGACAGUAGUUACCGAGCGCCGUCCAGCAGUACUCGGUAAUGUCCUCAUUUUCCAAGAGCAACUCUCGGUAAAUCAUCCUUCUUGUGCAUUCCCCAUAAUAUGUAUUAUACUUUUUUUGUUUUCUUCCAUGCUUGGCAAACGACCUUAGCACAUCAUAAUUACCAUCAUGUGUUUUCUUUUCAAAUGAUGGGCCUCGCCCGGUUCUAGAGACCGGCACCCUUCCGGUGGCCCCGGCGGUCUAGGGCGUUGGUCAACACCAAGAGGGUGUAGCCCAUGGUGAAUAACUGCUUCUCCGUGUUAGUGCAUGUCAUCGCGAGAUGACAGACCAAGUCUAGGCCAAAGCCACAACAAGAUCCCAUCCGUGUAGACCCGACGUGUCCGUUUCCCCCUCCAGGUGCCGGCCGUGAGGGGGGCCACACCCCGGAGAGGCGUGCCGCCUCUUCAGAAAUGCAACCACACCAUAGGGCAUGUAUGAGGGCCCGGUGCGAUGCUCUGGUGGCAUUGCUACCCACCCAGGGCCCCCAUCCCGCCUAACCCUGUAGCGUUUGACCACGGGAUCUAGCCCUUCGACUUUGCAGGAACGGGCUUUGACCAGUGGAACUCUCCACCCGGUUGUGUUAGGUCAGCCAAUAGGAACACUUUGGAGCAACAUCCGGGCCAAAGCCACAGCAAGACCCCAUCCGUGUAGACCCGACGCGUCCAUUUCCCCCCUCCAGGUGCCGGGGGCAGCACCAUCCGUGAGGGGGGGCACACCCCGAAGACGCGGGCCGAGCGUUUGCAACCGCCACAACACUUCCAUACUUGUGAGAGGCCGCCUACGCAAGGUUUGGCGGCAUGUGCUAGCCCCCGGAGGCCGCCGUCCACAGUCGUAGACACACGAAGAGCAAUCCGCGGAGAGGGAAGUGUUCAGAUACUUCUUUAAAGUUCUCUCUCGGUGCCGGUCUAGAAAGUUGACCGGCACCGAGAGAGGGUGUAGUCCACGGUGAAUAACUGCUACUCCGUGUUAGUGCAUGCCAUCACGAGAUGACAAACCAAGUCUAGGCUCGUUCUGUCACGGGAUCACCCACCGAAGAUUCUGUCUCGGGAACGGACGCAGCCGGUCCUUGACGUUCCCGCCCGUGUGUGUGGUUUGUGAGGCACGUGCCUCGUCAAGGAUGUGCGUUUCUUAUUCAAAUAGCACACCACCCCUACAUGCAUAUACAAGGGCCACGCGCAUCUAGGGUGCUCUCCCCCUGCUCGGGCGGUCUCCAUAUCGAGCACCCAUCCGGUGGCCCCGGCGGUCUAGGGCGUUAUUCGGCACCGAGAGGGUGUAGUCCACGGUGAAUAAUUGCUUCUCCGUGUUAGUGCAUGUCAUCGCGAUAUGAUAGACCAAGUCUAGGCCAAAGCCAUAGCAAGAUCCCAUUCGUGUAGACCUGACGCGUCCGUUUCCCCCCUCCAGGUGCCGGCCGUGAGGGGGGCCACACCCCGGAGAGGCGUGCCGCCUCUUCGGACAUGCCACCACAAUGUACGACAUGUAUGAGGGCCCGGUGCGAUGCUCCGGUGGCAUUGAUACCCCCCGGGCCCCCGUCCCGCCUAACCCUGUAGCGUUUGACCAUGGGAUCUAGCCCUUUGACUUUGCACGGACGGGCUUUGACCAGUGGAACUCUCCACCCAGUUGUGAUAGGUUAGCCCAUAGGAACACUUCGGAGCAACAUCCGGGCCAAAGCUACAGCAAGACCCCAUCAGUGUAGACCCGACGCGUCCGUUCCCCGCCUCCAGGUGCCGGCGGCGGCGCCGUCCGUGAGGGGGGGCACACCCCGGAGACGCGGGCCGGGUGUUUGCAACCGCCACAACACUUCCAGACUUGUGAGAGGCCUCCUACGCAAGGUUUGGCGGCAUGUGCUAGCCCCCGGAGGCCGCCGGCCACAGUCGUAGACACGCGAAGAGCAAUCCGCAGAGAGGGAAGUGUUCAAAUACUUCCUUAAAGUUCUCUCUCGGUGCCGGUCUAGAAAGUUGACCGGCACAGAGAGAGGGGGGAGGCCACGGUCAACAACUUCUUCUUCUCAUGUUUUUUUUUACUUUACACACUCUUUAAAGUUGAGUUUUGAAAAAAAAUCAUCAAAAGUCAUGGAAUUUAUAAACUUUGGUCGUAAAAACAUAUGAAAUAUGAGAUAAAAAAAGAUAGUGCAAAAAAAAGACAAAAAGAGAAGGGAAAAAAUUUAGAGCAGUGGUUACCAAGAGUCGAUUCUCGGCUCUCGGUAAUUGCCACCUUUUCCGAGAGCUGCUGUCAGGUGGUAGGUGCGACAUAUGCCAAUGGAUGGCCUAUCUGUGUGGGAGCCAGUAAAACAUCGCCGGUGCAUGGAAAUGGGAUAAGGCGAAGACAUGCACGCCGGCGGAUCUUACCCAGGUUGGGGGCUCUCCAUGGAGAUAAUACCCCUACUCCUGCUCUGCAGGGUCUCCGCAUGAUCACUAGAUCGACAAGAAGCUACAAGAGGCUCCUUGAGUUGUUCAGUGGAAGGAGGAAGAAGGGCAAGGCUAGCUCUCUCCUCUCCCUUUAGUGGUGUCUAAAACUAUAUCCGAUCAACCCUUUGCAUGGGUGUCCCGGGGGUUUAUAUAGGCCUACCCCCAGGGGUACAAUGGUAAUCUGGCUGGGCGUGGGCCCUAGCCGUCAGUGUCUACGACCGCCGGCUUCUUCGCUGACUGCUGGGGCCCGCCGGCUGCCGGCUCAUCGGUCGACAGGCUGGCCUACCUCUUGGGGGUCUUGUCGGGGGCUGGUUACUGUUGCCUCGCCUCUGAUGACGAGGGCUUUGUCGAGAUAAGCAUGGCUACAGUGCUGCCGCCUUGCGGACUCUCACUAUAGCCUUACCUCGUCUUGUCUCCUUAAUGGUGCACACGCCCCGAGGAGGGGAGCAAGCCGGCUAUAGGAAGCCGGCCAUGCCUCAGGCCGGCUGGGGGAGGCCAGGCCGCCUUCAGGCGUCUCUCUGAUCGAAGGGACCCGCAGCCCACGGGCCAUACUGGAAGCCCGUCGUGGAGGGCGUCAUGACCAGCAUGGAAACAGUGCCACGCCGAACGGGUGAUGGCUGUCCCGUACGGCGUACUAUAGCCAUGCGUGCUCUGGGAUUUGGGGGUGGCAGGAUCCAUCGUUGCCACGCCCUGUCCCAUCAUCGUUAGGGGGGGGGGGGCAGACCUUUAGGGCACGGCCCCUGGCCGCCUACCUGGGGCCGGCCUCUUGGAGUCGGUCCUUCCGUGGCCGGCUUCUUGGAGUCGGCCCUAUCCUGGCGUCCUCCUAGAGAGUUUAGGGCCGGGCCGCCUUCCGGUAGCCGGCCUGUGAGAUAGCCGGCCAGAGGAAGGCGGCCCCGCGUCUUGGGUGCUUCAAGGCCCGGCCGGCCCGUUGUUUUUUCUAAGGGCCAAUGGGAGCCGGCUAGGCUACCCGUGCUCAUUUACUCCGACAGCUGCUCUCGGUAAACCAUCCACCUAGAUCUCUUUCCUUCUUGUGCAUUCUCGAUAAUAUGUAUUAUACUUUUUUUGUUGUUUUCUUCCAUGCUUGGCAAACAACCUUAGCACAUCAUAAUUACCGUCUUGUGUUUUCUUUUCAAAUGAUGGGCCUCGCCCGGUUAUAGAGACCGGCACCCUUCCGGUGGCCCCGGCGGUCUAGGGCGUUGAUCUGCACCGAGAGGGUGUAGUCCAUGGUGAAUAACUGCUUCUCCGUGUAAGUGCAUGUCAUCGCGAGAUGACAGACCAAGUCUAGGCCAAAGCCACAGCAAGAUCCCAUCCGCCCUCAUCUGAUCUGCCAGAUGAGCGGCCGCUUCGACCCAAGCCGGUUGAGCACCAGGGAGAUGCCUUAUGACGAGGUAUCUUACAUGGUGAACUACAUCGCGAACUGCAAGCUCAACGAGGAGUGGCAGUACGGCAAGGAGCCGUAUUCUCGUGCCAACCCCCGCCUGUGGUAAGCUUUCUUUCUUUUCCUUUUUUCUUGUCGCCGAAUUCUCUCUGGCCGGCCUCUGACCAGUCGGCUUGUUUUUUUAAUCAGAACCCCCUCCUUCAUCCUUCGGCCGGGACCGCGGGGGCGGAACGCGAGUUCGCCCCUGACCGCAUGGUGGACGACCUCGACGACCCCGACUUGGGGGCGGCCGCCCUAGACGACGACGCAGUAGGAGAAGGCGGCAAGACAGGUGGCUCCGGGUUCACCGUCGGCUUUGAUGACUGGCCUGACGAUGACGAGGCCGACCCUAAUCCGCGCCGCCAGCCGUCGUCCGACCAUCAGGGUGCCGGCCCCUUCGGCGGGCCGGCUGCACGGGGUGGCGCGUAGAAACGCCAGGCGGCGCCGACUCUCUUCGGCGGGCGGCCAAAGAAGCCCAAGGGUUCCAUGGCGGCGACCAAGCAGGACGAGGCGGCCGCGAAGGCGGCCCGCUUCCGCAAGGUGGUGAAGCAGCCGCAGGCGGUUUCGGCGUAAGUAUUGAUUCUCGCACACCUUUCUUUCUUUCUUUCAUCAGUCGAUGUUCUUCUAAGUCUCGUCUUGUUUUACCAACCAGGGCUCCGCUUUCUCUUGAGCGGACUACCGCCGCCUCCAUAGUCGGCGGGGCAGAAGGAUCUGCGAGUUCCCGCCGCGUAGACCCUCGCGGCGAGCUCCAAGCGGCGACGGAGCGGAAUGCGCGGGAGGCGCGGGAGGAGCGGGAGGCGGAGGAGCGGAGGGCAGCCGCCACCGAGGCGGCUCAGGAGACGACGGCGGAAUCGGCUGAGGCGCAGGCCGACGCAGCGGCCAAGGCCCAGGCGGAGGCCGAGGCCGCAGAGAGGGCUGCGGAGGCCCUGCGUAGCCAGCCUCCGCAACUUGUCAUCCCCCUCCGCACCGUGGCCCCCGACAUCCCGGUGCCCCCGCAGGAGGAAACCGGCCGUGACCCGCCGGCGAUGGAGAGGGAGGGGGUGACGUAGUCGUCCCGGAAAGAGAGGUGGUGACGCUUCCGUCGGCCGGGACGGGCCAAGGCGGUCAGCUCGAGGUGCAGCCUGAGCAGCCGGCUGGGGGCGAGCCGACUGCAAGGGCGGAUCUUGUGGUCUUGUCGCCGACUCGUCGGCGUGCGGGGAGGGCGGCUUCAGAGCCAGACCCGCAGAGGGCCGCCGGCUCCAGCUCAUUGUCGCACGACCUGGAGGUGGCCAGCAUCGGCUUGCCUGGGUGGAUGCUGGGCGGUGGGACAGCAACGCUGAAUCUGGCAGCGCAGGACGUCCGUAGCCGGCUUCAGGCUCAGGCCACUGCGCUGAAGCAGUGUACCCAAGAGUUUCUCACGACGCGGUCGGUCAUUCGGGUGACUUUUCUUGCUCUUGAUUUCUUUCGUGGGGGUGCGUCAGCGCACCCACUGGGUGUAGUCCCCGAGUUCCAAGUCGGCUGCUGAGCAGGCGGCUUGGAACUUCUCAGAAGACUUUGGUUUAAUGACUUGUUCUUGCUCGCACCUUCGUCCUGUUUGCAGGAUUAUCACAACCUCCACGCCGCUACCUUCAACUCCUAGGCCCCGGAGAUGAACCAGAAGGCUGCCAAUCUGACGGAGAGCCGGCGUGAGUGCUUUUUCUUUUUAUGUCAUGUGGGGGCGCGUCAGCGCACCCACUGGGUGUAGUCCCCGAGAUUCAGGCCGACUGCUGUGCAGUCAGGUCGGAUCUUUCUUGCCGACUUCUUUCUUAAUUUCUUCUUCUUGAUAUUGGCAGGAGCCAAUGCUGACUUGAGGCAGCAGCUGGGCGUGGCCCAGACCGCCCUUCGCACCAGGGAGGGCGAGUUCAAUGCCUUGGUUCAGGAGCGUGAUCGUCUGGCCAAGAAACUGGCCGACCAGGAGGAGAGCCACAAGGCGGCCCUGAAGGCGGCGCAGGACAGCGAGGCUGCCCUCAAAGCCGAGUAUGAGACCGAGGCGGUGAGCUGGGCCGAGGCGAGGCAUGCUCUGAGCGAAGGCUACGUCCGGGUUGAGGAUUUGAUUGAUGGUAGGCCGCCUUCUUCUUCACCUCUUUGCCUGUCCUUGUAAUCCGGUUUAUCUUCUGACUUGCUCUAUUUCCUUCUUCUUUGUGAAGAAUAUUUCCCCGGCUACUCCGUCGCCGCCAACUAAGCCAUCGAAGCUCACUGUGAGGCCCGACGACAAGCUGGGGUUGCGGUCGCACCGGAUGCCGACCGGUCGCUUGAGGAGCAGCUUCUAGCGAUCCAAGCCCGCCUCCAGCCGGCCUACCGCAUGCUCCACCGGCUUCAGCGUGCUGGAGCGCAGGUACUGGCCGCCCUCUGGCCUGGCGAGGUGAUUCCCUGCACCCCCAGCCGUACCGCCGACUGGCUGGAGGUGGCAGUUGGCCGCCUCGAGGCCUGGAAGGCUUCAGCAGCAUGGUCCGGUGCUCGACGGGUGCUGGAGUUCAUCCGGGCUUGGUAUCCUGGGCUGAACUUGGACCAGCUGCGCACCUGGCGGCAGGAGGCUGACGAGGAGCUAGAGACGGUGCGGCCGGCUAUCAUCCAGCGCACCUCGGCAAUCGCCAACUUCACCGACAACAACGCCUUUGCUAUUGAGGUGGACGAAGACGGCCUUGCGCAGCCGGAGGAAUGGUUCGGGCUGAACCCGGCUGACGGUGAAGACUUGGCAGAGGAGAUCGACUCCAGUGACGAGGGCGAAGAGGAGGAGGAAGACGGCGAAGACGUUGUGCCGGAUGGUGAAGCAGCCAGCCAGCUUCAGCCUGAUCGUGCCUCCAGCAACAAGGCGCGUGCUAAUGCACCGCUUGCCGCAGGUGACGAUCAGGCCGAGAUUCGGCAGCCGGCCACUCCUCCAGCCGACACCGCCGUCUCCACCGAUCUGCCCGACGCCCCAGUUGCUCCCUUGGCUUGACUCGCCGUUUUUACUUUCCUACUUGUCACUCUUUGAACAACUUUUAUUAACUUUGCGCAAUUCCACCCACUGGGGGUGUAUUCAAACUUUGUUGAAUGCCGGCCUCUCGAAGGCCUUUUGUGUAAAUAUAAUCAUGCAUGUGCUUGGCUUCCAUUCCUACUUUCUUUUUAUCUUUGGGCUGUUUUCCUUUGUCGCCCUCCUUUGGUCGCCGCCUUUCCCAGCCGGACAACUGCUCUGCAGUCUGUGGCCGGGUAAGGAAUUGGCCGUCUAGGAGGGCAAGUACUCAACCUUUCUUAGAUUGUAGUAGNNNNNNNNNNNNNNNNNNNNNNNNNNNNNNNNNNNNNNNNNNNNNNNNNNNNNNNNNNNNNNNNNNNNNNNNNNNNNNNNNNNNNNNNNNNNNNNNNNNNNNNNNNNNNNNNNNNNNNNNNNNNNNNNNNNNNNNNNNNNNNNNNNNNNNNNNNNNNNNNNNNNNNNNNNNNNNNNNNNNNNNNNNNNNNNNNNNNNNNNNNNNNNNNNNNNNNNNNNNNNNNNNNNNNNNNNNNNNNNNNNNNNNNNNNNNNNNNNNNNNNNNNNNNNNNNNNNNNNNNNNNNNNNNNNNNNNNNNNNNNNNNNNNNNNNNNNNNNNNNNNNNNNNNNNNNNNNNNNNNNNNNNNNNNNNNNNNNNNNNNNNNNNNNNNNNNNNNNNNNNNNNNNNNNNNNNNNNNNNNGGCUUGCGUUAUGUAAGUUCGUUAGUCCUUAGCCGUUUUUCAUGUGGGCCCCUUUUUCCGCCUUUGGCUCUUGCUAGUCGGACAGCCGGUUCUUCGAGCUGCGACUUUCAGAAGAGAGGGCUUGGGUGCCAGCACAUUACUUGUCUGACUGCAGGUAGAACUUGGACAUAACUUAAGGCGGCAAGUCCCCGGGCCGACUAGUCAAACCCGGUGCCGGACGAAAAAACGAAUGUAGUGACGUAGCCAUGGGUAUGAUACCCGGCAUUCAUAGAUAAAAGAGGGUAGUCCCCAAGAACUUCUCGGGGAGCCCUUUGUCUUAUACUUAAUACAAACGGUAGUAUGGUACAUACUGCAUUUUAACUGUAAAAUCUUCGAAGAAGAUUGGCAUUCCAUGGUCGCUCUAACUCCUUGCCGGAAUCGUCUCUCUUGCGUGCCUUCGGCUUCUGCGCAUCGAUCAGGUAGUAGGAGUCAUUGCCUAGAGCCCGGCUGAUGACGAAGGGGCCUUCCCAAGGGGCCGAGAGCUUGUGCUGGCCGGCUGUUCACUGGAUCAGCCGGAGCACAAGAUCACCCUCUUGGAAAGAUCUUGACUUGACCCUCCGACUGUGGUAACGGCAUAGACCCUGCUGGUAGAUGGCGGACCGGCUGAGGGCUAACAGCCGGCUUUCUUCCAGCAAGUCGACACCAUCUUCUCGUGCUUCCUUGGCCUCCGCCUCCGUGUACAUGGUGAUCCAAGGUGAGUCGAACUCGAUGUUAGUUGGGAUGACAGCCUCGGCACCAUAUACAAGGAAGAAAGGGGUGAAGCCGGUUGACUUGUUCGGGGUAGUGCGCAGACUCCAACGGACGGCCGACAGCUCGUCGAGCCAGCAGCCGGCCGAAUGCUCCAGCGGCAUGACCAGUCGGGGCUUGAUGCCGGCGAGGAUGAGGCCGUUUGCUCGCUCGACUUGGCCGUUUGACUGCGGGUGGGCAACGAACGCUAAGUCCAGUCGGAUGCCCUGUGUCGCGCAGAAACGUGCCAGUGCUCCCUUGGCAAAAUUCAUGCCAUUGUCGGUGAUGAUGCUGUGUGGUACUCCAUUCCGGGUUGUAAUGUCUACAAUGAAUGUCACGGCAGUCGGCCCAUUCAGUUUCUUGAUCAGCUUUGCUUCAAUCCACUUGGUAAAUUUGUCCACGGCGACAAGCAGAUGUGUCAUGCCGCCGUGCGCCGUCUUGAAUGGGCCGACCAUGUCCAGCCCCCAGACGGCAAAGGGCCAAGUGAGGGGGAUGGUCUUGAGUGCAGAAGCUGGUAGGUGUUGCUUGGAGCCGAAGAUUUGGCACCCUUUGCAGUGUUUGACUAACUCCUUGGCAUCCUCCAACACAGUGGGCCAAAAGAAACCAUGGCGGAAAGCUUUGGCGAUGAGUGCCCUUGAGGCGGCAUGGUGGCCGCAUUCGCCUUGGUGGAUGUCUUCGAGGAUUCCUAAGCCUUUCUCUGGCUCGACACAGCGCUGGAAGACUCCAGUAACACUGCGCCUCACAAGCUCUCGAUUCAUUAUUGUGUAUGCUCCGGCUCGGCGUUGGACUUGUCUUGCCGAGAUCUCAUCGGUCGACAGCUCUCCGUUUAUCAGGAAGUGGAGGAUGGGCUGGGCCCAUGAUGGAGCUGUGACUUCUUCUAUCGCCAAAACGGCUACUGCAACCAGGGUGGGCGGGCUGGGUUGUGAGGAGUUGGAGUCGGCUGCCGCCUGCUGUGUUGGUGCAGUCCCUGGGCCAUCUACAGUAGUCCCCGGGCCGGGUUCGACUAUGGCAGUCCCCGAGCCGACUGUCGGAGUCCCCGAGCUGGGUGUCGAAGUCCCCGAGCCGCCUGCUUGGUUCUCGAAGUUGGAUCCGACUGCGUCGGGGUCAGGCGGCACGAAGAUGGAACUGGAUUCCGAAGAUGGCUUGAUAGACGGCUUGAGGAGGCAUUGGAGGGCGACACCGGUUGGUAUAGCUUGCCGGGUGGAGCCUAUUCGUGCCAGGGCAUCUGCUUGCUCGUUGUCGGCCCGUGACACGUGGAGGAACUCUUACCCCUCAAAGUAUCCACUGAUCCGCUGAACGAGGAAGCGGUAGCUUGCCAUGUUUGCGUCCUUGGCGUCCCAGUCGCCGGAUGAUUGCUGGACCACCAAGUCCGAGUCACCAUAGCACAGGAUCUGGCGGAUGCCGAGUUCCUUGGCUAGCCGAAGCCCGUGUAUGAGUGCUUCAUACUCAUCCACAUUGUUGGAAGCGGCAAAAUGGAUUUGCAAUGUGUAUCUGAGUUUGUCGCCUUUGGGAGAGGUGAGGACGAUGCCGGCUCCCAAGCCGGUGCGCAUCUUGGAUCCGUCAAAGUGCAUCUGCCAAUGGGUGGAGUCGGGGGCCGGUGGCAGGUACUGGGUCUCGGCCCAGUCGAUGAGGAAGUCAGCCAAUGCUUGGGACUUGAUGGCGGUGCGGGGCUGGUAGUAGAUCAUGUAGGGAGCCAGCGUAAUGGCCCACUUCGCCACUCGGCCAGAUGCAUCUCGGCUGCCUAUGAUCUCGGCGAACGGGGCAGUGCAUACGAUCGUGAUGGGAUGCUCUUGAAAGUAGGGCUUGAGCUUCUUGGAGGCGAAGUACACACCGUAGCACAUCUUCUGAUAGUGCUGGUAGUGCUGCUUCGAGGUGGACAGUACUUCGCUCAAAUAAUACACCGGCCUCUGGACUAGCUGAGCUCGGCCUUCUUCUGGACACUGAACCACGAUAACUGUGCUGACCACCCGGCUGGUGGCGGCGAUGUAGAGGAACAUGGGCUCUUUCUCAGUCGGGGCCGCCAAGACAGGCGGCGUGGACAACAUCUUCUUUAGCUCGUCGAAAGCUUGGUCCGCCUGGUCAUUCCACUCGAAGUGAGUGGACUUCUUCUUGAGUCGGUAGAGGGGUAGAGCUUUCUCUCCGAGCCGGCUAAUGAAGCGGUUCAAAGAUGCCAGGCAUCCGGUGAACUUCUAGACGUCUCGCAGCUUGGUGGGAAUCUUCAUUCUCUCUAUGGCCUUGAUCUUGACUGGGUUGCACUCGAUGCCGCGUUUGGAGACCAGGAAGCCUAAAAGCUGGCCGGCUGGUACCCCGAACACGCAUUUCUCCGGGUUGAGCUUGAUCUGAAACCGGCGCAAAUUCUCAAAGGUCUCCUUGAGGUCUUCCAGGAAGGUGCCGCGUUUCUCCGUCUUUACCACACCAUCGUCUACGUAGUCGUGGGCAUUUCUGCCGAGUUGCUUGAGGAGGCAUUUAUGCAUGCAAUGCUGAAAAGUGGCACCGACAUUUCUCAAGCCGAAUAUCAUAGUCAGGUAACAGAAAGCUCCGAAUGGGGUGAUGAAGGCGGUCUUCAGGCGGUCAGCUGGGUCCAAUUUUAUCUGGUGGUAGCCCGAGUAUGUAUCCGAAAAACUCAACAGCUCGCAUUCGGCUGUGGAGUCUAUCACUUGAUCAAUCCUUGGUAGAGCAAAAGGAUCUUUAGGGCAGGCUUUGUUGAGGCUGGUGUAGUCGAUGCACAUGCGCCACUGCUUGUUCUUCUUCAACACCAGGACCGGGUUGGCAAGCCAUUCUGUAAAGAACACUUCCAUAAUGAAGCCGGCUGCCAGAAGCCGGGCUAUUUCUUCUCUGACUACUCUUCUCUUCUCUUCUGACAGGCGGCGCAAGGGCUGCCUGACCGGCUUGGCGUCUGAUCGGACGUGUAGCUUGUGCUCGGCGAAAUCCGUCGAGAGACCCGGCAUGUCUUUGGGAGACCAUGCAAAGAUGUCCCGAUUCUCACGAAGGAAAUCGACGAGCUCGCUUUCCUAUUUGCUGUCGAGGCCGGUGCCCAUGACAGCGUACUUCUCCGAGUGCUCCGGGUCCAUAGGUAUCUUAUUCGUCUCUUUGGCCGGCUGGAAAGAACCUUGAGCAUCACAUUCCUUGGGGUCAGGGGACAGGGACGGCGGCUUGCCAGCCAUGGCCACAACUCGAUUCAGCAUCUUUCUCUCUUCAGCAAUCACAAGGGACUCGGUCAGCCGGCUGCUAGCGGCUGCACACUCAGAAGACUUCUUGUAGUCUCCGGCUAUGGUGAUGAUGCCCUUGGAACUCGGCAUCUUCAUCUUGAGGUAGGCGUAGUGGGGCACAUCCAUAAACUUGGCCAAUGCAGGUCGGCCAAGCAAUGCGUGGUAUGGGCUUUCCAAAUCCACUACCUCAAACCAUAUUGCCUCUCGGCGGAAAUGAUCUUUGUCCCCAAAGAGGGCAUCCAUCUUGAUCUUACCGAUUGGUGAGCAGGAUAGGCCGGGCACAAUGCCAUGGAACACAGUCUGGCUUGGCAUGAGCUGCUUCGGCUUGAUGUUGAGCUUCUACAUGGUAUCAUGGUACAGUAUGUUGAUGUUGCUCCCACCAUCUAUCAGCACGCGGGAGAAACGGGCAGCUCGCCUUUUCGCGAGGGUGGCGUCCAAAACCAAUGCAUAGGAGCCAGGAGACGGCAUCACCUCUGGGUGACCGGCCUGGCUCCAGUUGAUGGGCUUCUCCGACCAGUGCAUAAACUCGGGGUUGUUGGAGGCGACCGUGUUGACUUCUUGCUGUUGUCGGCGCCGGCUGCGCGGGUCUUCCGUCUGGCUUGUAAAGAUGACGUAGGCGGCAUGUUCAUUGGGGAACUCGUCUUGGAUGGCUCCGACUGCUGGCCGAGCGGCCGGCUGCUGCGGGGCAGGAGGCAGCUGGCCUGCAGGCGGAGGCGGCAACAGCCCCUCGCCCUUGGAGAUUCGUGUGAGCCAAUGGCACUUCCGAGUUGUGUGGUUGGACGGCAUCGCGCCGCUGUGGAACUUGUAGGGGGCAUCGAGGGUUUGCUCGUAGGAGAAAGCCGGCUGCCAAGCCGGCCUGCCACCCUUCUACUUCUUGGGUGCCGGCCGCCCCUCAGGUUGCUCGUCUUCGAAUGUGGCCACCUGUCGGCUUGUGGAAGACGACAUAGGGGCCUUGCGCUUGUGGUCGCUUUGAUACAUGCGUCGACUUGAUUCUCCAGCCGGCGUCUUGGGAGCCGGCGUCAGCACUUUUCCAGAGGCGUCUACCCGGCGCUCAUUCUUCAUUGAGGAGUCGGCCGUGGCGUACUUGUCUACUAUGACCAGCAGCUCAUCGAGGGUAGCCGGCUCGUCGCGGAGGAGUCGAUGCUUGAGGGUGUCCUCUCUGCACCCGGCGGUGAAGUACUCUAUGGCUUGAACCUCGUGCACCCCCUCGCAAGAGUUGAGGAGCUUGGCCCAACGCGUGAGGUAGUCGCGGGUCGAUUCAUUGGGCCCUUGUACGCACAAGGAGAGCUGUCAGGGCUUGGGGGCCCAUUUGUAGGUGCUGGUGAAGUUGCGUAUGAAGGCUUCUGUGAAGUCCAGCCAGCUGUUGAUGCUAUAAGGCUUGAGGCUGUUGAGCCAGGUGCGCGCCGUGCCUUGGAGCAUCAAGGGGACAUAUUUCACGGCAACGCGCCUGUUGCCGUUUGCUAUGCGGACUGCGAUGGAGUAGUUGAUCAACCAAUCUUCCGGCUUCACGGAGCCGUUGUACUUGGGCGUGUCUCUCGGGAGCGAGAACCCUUUGGGGAAGGGCUCGUCGCGGAUGCGGGGGCAGAAACAAGGCGGGCCGACAUCAUCUUCUUCUUCCAGAGCCAGGGAUCGCGCAAGGCGGUCGAGCCGAUGGCGGGCAUCAUUCUCGCUGGCUCCUUCAUGGCAACCAAGUCGGCCGCUGAGAGUCGGAUGCGCGACCGACCGCGGGGUGGGAUAUCUCUCCCCACGAGGCGGAGGAGGAGGCGGGUUGCCUCGUCGUUCCACACCUCGAGGGCGGCCUUCUGCGUCGCACUCGAUGGUGAUUCGAGUCUGGCUGCGGCUAGCAACCGGCUCCUUAUCUUGUCUCGCACGGGCGCCGCCCGCAGUCGGCGUACGCGACGUCGCGCCGUGCUCUCAGCGACGGGGGCUUCCAGCUUGGACGCCGGCUUCGUGCCGCUCUGCGGCCAUGUUGAUUAGCUCCUGGAUGCGUCUGGUCAUGUAGGGGAGCUCGUCGGCCCCCAGUCCAUUUAGCUCGUCUACCAUCGACUGGGCGGCGCAUAGAUUCUCGAGGGGCAUGGCGUAGACUGGGCGGUCCGCUCCCAGCAUGCUGGCGAUGGCCGCGCCGCAUUUCUUGAUGACGCCGGCUCGGCUUUGCCCUUCUGGAGGCGGCGUACCGAAAGCGGCGUGGUCGACUUCACGCUGGUGGGCUUCAGUAAGGCAUCUCAUGGAGGCUAUCCUCUGGCCCUCCGCAAGGAGAGCAAGGCGGCGUGCCUCCAGCGUCUCGGCGUCAGCGUCCGCCGGGAUGGGGGCAGACAGAUCAUGCAGCAUUGCAUGCAAGGCGUCGCGGGCGUUUUCGUCGGAGGUGACGCCGUGGCUGAUGACUAGCACCUCGGUGACAGUGCUGCCACCACUGUCGGCCCGAGGGAGAGGGUCGUUGAAGAUGAUCACGUUGGUGGGGAAGGCGUCGAGCGACGUCGUGUCGGAGUCGACAAGCAUCGGGUUGGUGGAGCCAACCGACUCCAAGUCCACGGUAGGCUCGCUGGAGACGUGGAGUUGGUCGAGGAGGCUGACGAGGCGGCUCUCGAGGUAGCAUGUGCCCGCGUUGGAUGCGGGCUCGUCGGAGAUGCGAGCCUCGCCAAGAAGAUCGGCAAGGCAGCUCACUGCGCAGGCGUCAUCGACGCUUUGCAGCGCAUCGGGGCAAGCGCCAUCGGGCGUGCCAGGCUGGCUACGCUCGCGGGGGAGGAAAAAGGUUCCCGUCCAGAGCAGGUCUCCGGACAACGGUGCACCUGGCCCCACGGUGGGCGCCAAAUGUCGGGUGGUAGGUGCGACAUAUGCCAACGGAUGGCUUAUCUGUGUGCGAGCCAGUAAAACAUCGCCGGUGCAUGGAAACGGGAUAAGGCGAAGACAUGCAUGCCGGCGGAUCUUACCCAGGUUGGGGGCUCUCCAUGGAGAUAAUACUCCUACUCCCGCUCUGCGGGGUCUCCGCAUGAUCACUAGAUCGACAAGAAGCUACAAGAGGCUCCUUGAGCUGUUCGGUGGAAGGAGGAAGAAGGGCAAGGCUAGCUCUCUCCUCUCCCUUUAGUGGUGUCUAAAACUAUAUCCGACCAACCCUUUGCAUGGGUGUCCCGAGGGGUUUAUAUAGGCCUACCCCCCGGGGGUACAAUGGUAAUCCGACUGGGUGUGGGCCCUAGCCGUCAGUGUCUAUGACCCCCGGCUUCUCCGCCGACUGCUGGGGCCCGCCGGCUGCCGGCUCAUCGGUCCAUAGGCUGGUCCCACCGCUUGGGGGUCUUGUCGGGGGCUGGUUACUGUUGCCUCGCCUCUGAUGACGAGGGCUUUGUCAAGGUAAGCAUGGCUACAGUGCUGCUGCCUUGCGGACUCUCACUGUAGCCUUACCUCGUCUUGUCUCCUUAAUGGUGCGCGCGCCCCGAGGAGGGGAGCAAGCCGGCUAUAGGAAGUCGGCCAUGCCUCAGGCCGGCUGGGGGAGGCCAGGCCGCCUUCAGGCGUCUCUUUGAUUGAAGGGGCCCACCGCCAACGGGACAUACUGGAAGCCCGUCGUGGAGGGCGUCAUGACCAGCAUGGCAACAGUGCCACGCAGGACGGGUGAUGGCUGUCCCGUACAGCGUACUGUAGCCAUGCGUGCUCCCGGAUUCGGGGUGGCAGGAUCCACUGUUGCUACGCCCCGUCCCAUCAUUGUUAAGGGGGGGGGGGGCAGACCUUUAGGGCACGGCCCCUGGCCACAUGCCUGGGGCCGGCCUCUUGGAGUCGGUCCUUCCGUGGCCGGCUUCUUGGAGUCGGCCCUAUCGUGGCGUCCUCCCAAAGAGUUUAGGGCCGGGCCGCCUUCCGGUAGCCGGCCUGUGAGAUAGCCGGCUGGAGGAAGGCGGCCCCGCGUCUUGGGUGCUUCAAGACCCGGUCGGCCCAUUGUUUUUUCUAAGGGCCAAUGGGAGCCGGCUAGGCUACCCGUGGUCAUUUACUCCGACAGCUGCUCUCGGUAAACCAUCCACCUAGAUCUCUUUCCAUCUUGUGCAUUCUCGAUAAUAUGUAUUAUACUUUUUGUUGUUGUUUUCUUCCAUGCUUGGCAAACAACGUUAGCACAUCAUAACUACCAUCUUGUGUUUUCUUUUCAAAUGAUGGGCCUCGCCCGGUUAUAGAGACCGACACCCUUCCGGUGGCCCCGGCGGUCUAGGGCGUUGAUCUGCACCGAGAGGGUGUAGUCCAUGGCGAAUAACUGCUUCUCCGUGUAAGUGCAUGUCAUCGCGAGAUGACAGACCAAGUCUAGGCCAAAUCCUUAGCAAGAUCCCAUCUGUGUAGACCCAACGCGUCUGUUUCCGCCCUCCGGGUGCCGGCCGUGAGGGGGGCCACACCCCGGAGAGGCGUGCCGCCCCUUCGGACAUGCCACCACACCGUAGGCAUGUAUGAGGGCCCGGUGCGAUGCUCCGGUGGCAUUGCUACCCCCAGGGCCCCCGUCCCGCCUAACCCUGUAGCGUUUGACCACGGGAUCUAGCCCUUCGACUUUGCACGGAUGGGCUUUGACCGGGGGAACUCUCCACCCGGUUGUGUUAGGUCAGCCUAUAGGAACACUUUGGAGCAACAUCCGGGCCAAAGCCACAGCAAGACCCCAUCCGUGUAGACCCGACGCGUUUGUUUCCCCCCUCCAGGUGCCGGCAGCGGCGCCGUCCAUGAGGGGGGCACACCCCGGAGACGCGGGCCGGGCGUUUGCAACCGCCACAACACUUCCAGACUUGUGAGAGGCCGCCUACGCAAGGUUUGGUGGCAUGUGCUAGCUCUCGGAGGCCGUCGUCCACAGUCGUAGACACGCAAAGAGCAAUCCGCGCGAGAGGGAAGUGUUCAGAUACUUCUUUAAAGUUCUCUCUCGGUGCCGGUCUAGAAAGUUGACCGGCACGGAGAGAGGGUGUAGUCCACGGUGAACAACUGCUACUCCGUGUUAGUGCAUGUCAUCGCAAGAUGACAGACCAAGUCUAGGCUUGUUCUGUCACGGGAUUACCCACCGAAGAUUCUGUCUCGGGAACGGACGCAGCCAGUCCUUGACGUUCCCGCCUGUGUGUGUGGUUUGUGAGGCACAUGCCACGUCAAGGACAUGCGUUGCUUAUUCAAAUAGCACACCACCCCUGCAUGCAUAUACAUGGGCCACACGCAUGUAGGGGUGCCCUCCCCCCUCGGGCGGUCUCCAUAUCGAGCACCCAUCUGGUGGCCCCGGCGGUCUAGGGCGUUAUUCGGCACCGAGAGGGUGUAGUCCAUGGAGAAUAAUUGCUUCUUCGUGUCAGUGCAUGUCAACGCGAGAUGAUAGACCAAGUCUAGACCAAAGCCACAACAAGAUCCCAUCCGUGUAGACCCGACAUGUCCGUUUCCACCCUCCAGGUGUCGACCGUGAGGGGGGCCACACCUCGGAGAGGCGUGCCGCCUCUUCGGACAUGCCACCACACUGUACGACAUGUAUGAGGGCCCGGUGCGAUGCUCCGGUGACAUUGCUACCCCCCAGGGCCCCCGUCCGGCCUAACCCUGUAGCAUUUGACCACGAGAUCUAGCCCUUUGACUUUGCACGGACGGGCUUUGACCAGUGGAACUCUCCACCUGGUUGUGUUAGGUCAGCCCAUAGGAACACUUUGGAGUAACAUCCGGGCCAAAGCCACAGCAAGACCCCAUCCGUGUAGACUCGACGCAUCCGUUUCCCCCCUCCAGGUGCCGGCGGCGGCGCCGUCUGUGAGGGGGGGAACACCCAGAGACGCGGGCCGGGCGUUUGCAACCGCCACAACACUUCCAGACCUGUGAGAGGCCGCCUACGCAAGAUUUGGCGGCAUGUGCUAGCCCCCGGAGGCUGCCGUCCAUAGUCGUAGACACGCGAAGAGCAAUCCGCGGAGAGGGAAGUGUUCAGAUACUUCCUUAAAGUUCUCUCUCGGUGCCGGUCUAGAAAGUUGACCGGCACCGAGAGAGGGGGUAGGCCACGGUCAACAACUUCUUCUUCUCAUGUUUUUUUACUUUACACACUCUUUAAAGUUGAGUUUUGAAAAAAAUCAUCAAAAUUCAUGGAAUUUAUAAACUUUGGUCGUAAAAGCAUAUGAAAUAUGAGAUAAAAAAAGAUAGUGCAAAAAAUGACAAAAAGAGAAGGGAAAAAAAUUAGAGCAGUGGUUACCGAGAGUCGAUUCUCGACUCUCGAUAAUUGCCACCUUUUCCAAGAGCUGCUCUCGGUAAACAAUCCACCUAGAUCUCUUUCCUUCUUGUGCAUUCUCGAUAAUAUGUAUUAUACUUUUUUUUGUUGUUUUCUUUCAUGCUUGGCAAACAACCUUAGCACAUCAUAAUUACCAUCUUGUGUUUUCUUUUCAAAUGAUGGGCCUCGCCCAGUUCUAGAGACCGGCACCCUUCCGGUGGCCCUGGCGGUCUAGGGUGUUGAUCGGCACUGAGAGGGUGUAGUCCAUGGUGAAUAACUGCUUCUCCGUGUUAGUGCAUGCCAUCGCAAGAUGACAGACCAAGUCUAGGCCAAAGCCACAGCAAGAUCCCAUCCGUGUAGACCCGACGCGUCCGUUUCCCCCCUCCAGGUGCCGGCCGUGAGGGGGGACACACCCCGAAGAGGCGUGCCGCCUCUUCGGACAUGCCACCACACCGUACGGCAUGUCUGAGGGCCCGGUGCGAUGCUCCGUUGGCAUUGCUACCCCCCAGGGCCUCAGUCCCGCCUAACCCUGUAGCGUUUGACCACGGGAUCUAGCCCUUCGACUUUGCACGGACGGGCUUUGACCAGUGGAACUCUCCACCCGGUUGUGUUAGGUCAGCCCAUAGGAACGCUUUGGAGCAACAUCCGGGCCAAAGCCACAGCAAGACCCCAUCCGUGUAGACCUGAUGCGUCCGUUUCCCCCCUCCAGGUGCCUGCAGCGGCGCCGUCCGUGAGGGGGGCACACCCCAGAGACGCGGGCCGGGAAUUUGCAACCGCCACAACACUUCCAGACUUGUGAGAGGCCGCCUACGCAAGGUUUGGCGGCAUGUGCUAGCCCCGGAAGGCCGCCGGCCACAGUCGUAGACACGCAAAGAGCAAUCCGCGGAGAGGGAAGUGUUCAGAUACUUCAUUAAAGUUCUCUCUCGGUGCCUGUCUAGAAAGUUGAUCGGCACCGAGAGAGGGGGUAGGCCACGGUCAACAACUUCUUCUUCUCAUGUUUUUUACUUUACACACUCUUUAAAGUUGAGUUUUGAAAAAAAUCAUCAAAAGUCAUGGAAUGAGAUACAAAAAAGAUAGUGCCAAAAAAAACACAAAGAGAAGGAAAAAAUAUAUUAGAGCAGUACUUACCGAGUGUCAACUCACGACCCUCGGUAAUGUAUGCUUGUUCCAAGGGUUACUCUCGGUAAAGGAUCUAACCUAGAUCUAGAGGGACGUAUUUUCCGAGAGCUGCUCUCGGUAAAUCAUCUAACCUAGAUCUAGAGUUGAUUUCUUUUCUGAGGGCCGCACCGACAAGCACUCGGUAAAUGUGACGUCGACUACUUAAGCAUAUUUCCCCCCUGUUGUUUCUUCACUCAGCUCCCCAACGACCGGCGCCCUACUCCUCUGCUCCGGCGCCCCUCCACCGACCAGUGCCCCCUCCACCGCCGCCCCCCCACACCACACCGAGCUCCUCCCUCCGGUAAGCCCCCCUCCUCCUCUCCAUGUGUGUAUAGAUAGAUGGAUUGAUAGAUGGAUGCAUAGAUAGAUGGAUGGAUUGAUAGAUGGAUGCAUAGAUAGAUGGAUGGAUUGAUAGAUGGGUGCACAGAUAGAUGGAUGGAUUUAUAUAUGGAUGGAUGCCAUGUAGAUACUUUUUUUAAAAGGAAAAAUGUAGAUAAUUGUUGAUCAUGUUGUAUGCAUGGAUGCUAUGUGCGGAUGUGAACGAUGAGAUACGUGAGAUAGUGUCGAUGAGAUUUGUUCUUGGAGGAAGAAAAAUCAACUUUUGAGCGAUGACAAUUGAUUUGGGUGAGCUCCUCAUGUUAUAUCUUGAUAACACGCGAGGGGCUCACCCAGCUCAACCAUCAUCUAAAGUUGAAAUACCCGUGAGAGAGUGUCCACCAUAUAUACCACCACCAGCGAGAGUUGUUCUUGGAGGAAGAAAAUCGACUUUUGAUGAUGGCGGUCGAUCUACGUGAGCUCUUCAUGUUAUAUCUUUCUUGUUUGAUUCUUAUGUUAUUUUCCAUUCUGUGAUGAAAGGUGUUAGCAUCGAUCGAUUUUUUGGCUAUGGCCUCCAACAUCGAAGCUUCCAUUAGGGUCGACUCCACGGACACGGAGAAGAGCUCCGAGUACCGCUUGGAGGAACUCCUUGAGAAGAACCCACAGGUGAUCCUAAUGAAGUUUUUUGUGGAUCUGGCCAAGAAGAAUCCCCCAGAUAAGGAGGGCAAGGCUCCACCACGCAAGGAGCCAUUGAGUCCACCGACCAUCAUUCCCGACGAUGCUUGGUCCUCCACUGUGGGGGAUGCCCCCACGUGCUCUGACUCGACGAUCACUGGUUUCAUCGACUACACCUCAGAGUAGUCACCUAGAUAGUUUGACGUUAAUUUAGUGGUAUAGUUAUGUACUUGCUGAUAUGGACUUGGAUGGCCACUUGCGAUGCUUUUGAUUGUAUGUGUGAUGAAUGCUUAUGUUGAUUAUGUAUGAUGUGCCUUAUUUCUCUUUCUUUUGUAGAUGAAGUGGUAUGUGGUGUACAAAGGACGGUGUCCAGGAGUCUACAAUUCAUGGUCGGAAUGCAAUGAACAAAUACUUCAUUAUGAAGGCAACUCCUUCGCCUCAUUCAACAAUAGAGAGACGGCAGAGUAUCAUCACAAUCAGUAUUUGCUCAAGCAAAAGAGAAAAACAGAAUUAUGCAAUGGUGCAAGCCAGACACGGCUUAGCUGGUUCAGUGGGUUGAAGAACUUCAUAAUUCUCUUUCAGUUUGUCAUAAUUAUGGUGUUGCCUUUUAUCAUAUGGUGCAUGCAUGCAGACCACUUUGUUGUUUAAUUAGUAAGUAGGCACUUGUACUAAAGAGCUACUUUGUGAUUUGAAAUGAAGCUUGUGUGAACUAUUUAUGGAUUAAUGCUUAUGUGAGUUUGUUGUUAACCUAUGUGACUUGAAAUGCGAGUUUGAGUAUUGUAUAAAUGUUUUUGCUGCACCAACUCGAGCAAAAUACAGUAUGAACAAAGCUGGGAACAAAAUUUUACCGAGGGCCGCACUCGGCAAACAGGCAUGCGCUGGAAGCUGGAGGCACUUGGCUGUUGCAGUUAUGCCGAGAAGACUCUUGGUAAAGCAGCAGUUACUGAGGGUCGACUCCUUGCUCUCGGUAAAUGAGAAGGUGCCGAGAGUCACUCUCGGUAAUGAUUAGGGCACCAUCAAAGUUUAAUCCCACCUCGCCUAGAGACAAGCAACAAAACCUAUUUAAAUAGUGGGAUAGUCCAGAUGCAGUAAGCUUCGGUAUUUAUUACACUCUUGUUAAGGAGAUGGACUAUCACUUUGAGUGUUCACCUGUCUCGAGCAGAGAACAUUCAAAGUGAUAGGCCAUCUUCUUAAUGGUGGAUGCCGGUGUUUUUUGUUGUUGUUUUAUUUCAUGCUUGGCAACAACCUUAGUGCAUUAUAAUUACUGUCUUGUGUUUUCUUCUUCGGAUGAGCCUCGUCCGGUGCUAGAGAUCGGUACCCCUCCGAAGAUUCUGUCUCGGGAACGGACGCAGCCGGUCCUCGACGUCCCCGCCCGUGUGUGUGGUUUGUGAGGCACGUGUCACGUCAAGGACGUGCGUUGCUUAUUCAAAUAGCACACCACCCCUGCAUUCAUAUGCAUGGGCCAUGCGCAUGUACGGGUGCCCUCCCCCCUCGGGCGGUCUCCAUAUCGAGCACUGAUAACCCGCAAGUAUACAUGAUAGUUGUAGCCUCUUUCGAUAAGUAAGAGUGUCGAACCCAACGAGGAGCUAAUGGUAGAACAAAUACCCUCUCAAGUCCUAUCGGCCACUGAUACGACUCUACGCACGCUUAACGUUCGCUUUACCUAGAACAAGUAUGAAACUAGAAGUAGUUUGUAGGUGUGAUAGGAUAGGUUUGCAAGAAAACAAAGAGCAUGUAAAUAAAAAGUAGGGGCUUUUUAGAUAAAGAAGCAAUAAAGUAAAUAAAUCGAGUGUGGAAAAGUGGUGGUAGGAGUUGUGAAAUUGUCCCUAAACAAUUGACUAUGUUACUAGACCGGUAAUCACUAUUGCAAUUCUAUUUGAGGGAGAGGCAUAAGCUAACAUACUUUCUCUACUUGGAUCAUAUGCACUUAUGAUUGGAACUCUAGCAAGCAUCCGCAACUACUAAAGAUUCAUUAAGGUAAAACCCAACCAUAGCAUUAAAGUAUCAAGUCCUCUUUAUCCCAUACACAACAACCUACUUACUCGGGUUUGUGUUUCAGUCAGUCACGCAAUCCACUAUAAGCAAAUCAUGAACGCAUUGCAACACCCUACAGCGGGAAUCCCUCACGCUUGCGCGACACGGAGGGCACCAUAGGACAUCACCAAUAAUAAAACAUGCAACUCAAACCAAUCAUAGCAAUUCAUUAGUCACCGAUAGGACAACGAAAAUCUACUCAGACAUCAUAGGAUGGCAACACAUCAUUGGAAAUAAUAUGAAGCAUAAAGCACCAUGUUCAAGUAGAGGGUACAGCGGGUUGCGGGAGAGUGGACCGCUGUAGAUAGAGGGGGAAGGUGAUGGAGAUGUUGGUGAAGAUGACGGUGGUGUUGGUGAAGAUCGUGAUGAUGAUGAUGGCCCCCGGUGGCGUUCCGGCGCCACCGGAAGCAAGGGGAGAGAGCCCCCCUUCUUAUUAUUCUUCGCUGACCUUCUCCCUAGAUGGGAGAAGGGUUUCCCCUCUGGUACUUGGCUCCCAUGGCGUGGGAGGGGUGAGAGCCCCUCCGAGAUUGGAUCUAUCUCUCUGUUUCUGCGUUCUCUGUUUUUGCCCCUUCACCGUUUCCUUUAUAUCUGGAGAUCUGUAACUCCGAUUGGGGUGAAUCUUUCACCCAGAUUUUUCUCAUAAAAUUAGCUUUCUUGCGGCAAAAGAAGGGCAUCAACCGCCUUAUGGGUUGCCCAGAGAGUCCAGGGCGUGCCCAGGGGGGAGGGCGCGCCCCUUGUCUUGUGGCCACCACGGACACUGUUUCACGUUGAUUCUUCCUCCGGAAAAUCCCAAAUAUUCGAAAAUAAUUCUCCGUCCGUUUUUACCCCGUUUGGAUUCCGUUUGAUAUUGGUUUUCUGCUAAACAUAAAACAUGCAACAGACAGGAACUGGCACUGGGCACUGAAUCAAUAUGUUAGUCCCAAAAAUAGUAUAAAAAGUUGCCAAAAUUAUAUGAAAGUUGAAGAAUAUUGGCAUGGAACAAUCAAAAAUUAUAGAUAUGACGGAGACGUAUCAGCAUCCCCAAGCUUAAUUCCUGCUCGUCCUCGAGUAGGUAAAUGAUAAAAAGAUAAUUUUUGAUGUGGAAUGCUACCUAGCAUAAUCUUGAUCAUAUGUCUAAUCAUGGCAUGAAUAUUAAGACACGAGUGAUUCAAAGCAAUAGUCUAUCAUUUGACAUAAAAAACAAUAAUACUUCGAGCGUACCAAUAAAGCAAUCAUGUCUUUUCAAAACAACAAGUCCAAAGCAAGCUUAUCCCUACAAAAUCAUACAGUUUGACCAUGCUUCAUUUUCGUCACACAAAAAUGCUCCCAUCAUGCACAACCCCGAUGCCGAGCCGAGCAAUUGGUUCAUACUUUUUAACGCGCUUCAGCUUUUUCAACCCUCACGCAAUACAUAUAGGUGGAAUAGAAUAUAAUGAUGGAGGUUAUGUGGAGAAGAUAAAAAGGGUGAAAGUCUCACAUCGACGCGACUAAUCAAUGGGCUAUGGAGAUGCCCAUCAAUUGAUGUCAAUGCGAGGAGUAGGGAUUGCCAUGCAACGGAUGCACUAGAGAUAUAAGUGUAUGAAAGCUCAACAAAAGAAACUAAGUGGGUGUGCAUCCAACUUGCUUGCUCAUGAAGACCUAGGGCAUUUGAGGAAGCCCAUCGUUGGAAUAUACAAGCCAAGUUCUAUAAUGAAAAUUCCCACUAGUAUAUGAAAGUGACAACAUAGGAGACAAUCUAUAUGAAGAACAUGGUGCUACUUUGAAGCACAAGUGUGGAAAAAGGAUAGUAACAUUGCCCCUUUUCUUUUCUUUUUUUAUUUUUUUCGGUGGGCUUCUUUGGCCCCCUUUUUUAUUUAGGCUUCUUUGGCCUUUCCUUUUUUUCUUUUUUUCUUUUUCUUUCAUGGGGCAAUGCUCUAUAAUGAUGAUCAUCACACUUUUAUUUACUUACAACUCAACAUUACAACUCAAUACUAGAACAAAUAUAUGACUCUAUAUGAAUGCUUCCAGCGGUGUACCGGGAUGUGCAAUGAUCUAGCGUAGCAAUGACAUCAAAAAACGGACAAGCCAUGAAAACAUCAUGCUAGAUAUCUUACGAUCAUGCAAAGCAAUAUGACAAUGAAUGCUCAAGUCAUGUAUAUGAUGAUGAUGAAAGUUGCAUGGCAAUAUAUCUCGGAAUGGCUAUGGAAAUGCCAUGAUAGGUAGGUAUGGUGGCUGUUUUGAGGAAGAUAUAAUGAGGCUUAUGUGUGAUAGAGCGUAUCAUAUCACGGGGUUUGGAUGCACCGGCGAAGUUUGCACCAACUCUCGAGGUGAGAAAGGGCAAUGCACGGUACCGAAGAGGCUAGCAAUGAUGGAAAGGUAAAAGUGCGUAUAAUCCAUGGACUCACAUUAGUCAUAAAGAACUCAUAUACUUAUUGCAAAAGUUUAUUAGACCUCGAAGCAAAGUACUACUACGCAUGCCCCUAGGGGGAUAUAUUGGUAGGAAAAGACCAUCGCUCGUCCCCGACUGCCACUCAUAAGGAAGACAAUCAAAGAAACACCCCAUGCUUUUGUCACACAACGGUUACCAUACGUGCAUGCUACAGGACUUGCAAACCUCAACACAAGUGUCUCUACAAUCCACAACCACCCACUAGAAUGACUCUAAUAUCACCAUAUUUAUAUCGCAAAACUAUUGCAAGGAAUCAAACAUAUCAUAUUCAGCGAUCUACAAGUUUAUGUAGGAUUUUAUGACUAACCAUGUGAAUGACCAAUUCCUGUCAUCUCUCUAAAUAGAUAUAAAUGAAGCAAGAGAGUUUAAUUCUUUCUACGAAAUAUAUGCCCAUGCUCUAACAAAUAUAAAUUAAGCAAAAGAGCAUUCUACAAAUGGCGGUUUUCUAUGUGAAGAGAAACAGGCAAUCCAAACUUCAAACGAUAUACAUGAAGCACAUGAAGCAUUCUAUAAAGCCAUACUCAAAAGAUUUAAGUGAAGUGCAAUGAGCAUUCUAUAAAUCAACCAAGGACUAUCUCAUACCAGCAUGGUGCAUAAAAUAAAAAUGAAAACUAAAUGCAAAAGACGCUCCAAGACUUGCACAUAAUGCAUGAACGAAACAAAUUCGAAAACAUACCGAUACUUGUUGAAGAAAGAGGGGAUGCCUUCCGGGGCAUCCCCAAGAUUAGACGCUUGAGUCUUCUUGAAUAUUUACUUGGGGUGCCUCGGGCAUCCCCAAGCUUGAGCUCUUGCCUCUCUUCCUUUUCCUUAUAUCGAGACAUCCUCGAUUAGACACUACAUCCACACAAAACUUCAACAGAAAACUCGGUAAGAUCCGUUAGUAUAAUAAAGUAAAUCACUACUCUAAGUACUGUAGAAAACCAAUUCAUAUCUUGUUUUUGCAUUGUUUCUACUGUAGUAUAACUUUUCCAUGGCUUAAUCCACUGAUAUAAAUUUAUAGUUUCAUCAAAACAAGUAAACUAUGCAUCAAAAACAGAAUCUGUCAAAAACAGAACAGUCUGUAGCAAUCUGAACAUCCACCAUACUUAUGGUACCCCAAAUAUUCUACUAAAAUUAGGAAAAAUAAAAAAGUUGUAUACCAAGACAGUGCAAAAGGAAUCAGAACCAUUUGAUGUUUCAGUUAAAAAUGUAAAAUCAAUAACUACAGCCAAAGUUUCUGUCCUGCACCGUACAAGCCAACAAGCAUUGUAAACAUCCUAAAGGCAAACCUUGGCACAUUAUUUUUAUAAUACAAAUGGAAUUGUACAAGGGGAUAAUUAUUUUUUAUGAAAAGUUUCUGUAAUCAAGAUUCACAAAGUUUCCGUGAGCAUGAACAAAGUUCAAGGCUAGCUCCCACUUCAACAAUGCUUGUCUCUCUCACUUUCACUUUCCUUUUUGAAAAGUUUUUAGGUUCCCCUAUUUAUUUUUUUGUUUUUAAACUAUAUGAAAGCACUCAACAGAAAUAAAUGACUCUCUAAAACUUCCAGGUUGUCUCCCUGGCAGCGCUUUCUUUAAAGCCAUUAAACUAGGCAAAUAGUGCUCAAGUAAUGAAUCCACCCGGAUCCCAAGGUAUAUCAAAGCCAAUUUUAAUUAACAAUAAUUUGUAAUUUAGUAGUGAGCACAAGGUAACAUAUAUCAAGCAACAACGAAGUCUAACUCUCUUCCUAUGCAUCGGCAUGUCAUAAGAGAACAAUACAUGCACACAUAGUAAAGGCCAAUGCAUAGUAUAAACAGUUUCUUGCAAUUCUAUCGUAUUGGAAACAUAGAGAGGUGGAGAUAAAGUUCCUCUCUCAUAAUAAUUGCAAGUAGGAGCAGCAAGCACAUGCAUAUUAUAUUCAUCAAAAUCAUCAUGUGCAAUGGUAAAAGGCAACCCAUCAAUAUAAUCCUUAAUAAGCACAAACUUCUCCGGUAUAGUGUAGUAGGGAGAAUUUAAAAAGAUAAUAGGACUAUCAUGCGUGGGUGCAAUAGCAACAAUUUCAUGUUUAACAUAAGGAACUAUAGCAAGUUCAUCUCGAUAAGCAUAAUUCAUAUUGGCAUCUUGGCCACAAGCAUAGCAAGCAUCAUCAAAAGGGGAUAUUUCAAGAGAAUCAACGGGAUCAUAACAAUCAUCAUAGCAAUCAUCAUAGUAAUCAUCAUACAAUCAUCCUUCGGUAAGCACGAAGGGAAAUUAAACAAUGUAUGAGUUGAAGAGUUACUCUCAUUAGAAGGCGGGCAAGGGUAGCUAAUCCGCUCUUCCUCCUUUGUUCUUCGCUCUCCUCAUCAUCUUUUUCAUCCAAUGAGCUCACUGUUUCAUCAAUUUCUUCUUCCAUAGCUUCCUGCAAAAUAUUAGUCUCUUCUUGGACAGCGGAGAAUUUCUCAAUAUAUGGUUUAACAUAGGCGUUAGAAGCAUAAUUAUCAUAACAAUAUUCAAGUAUGGCAAAACUUUCAGAUUGUAAAGAGUAGCAUCAUACUUUUCAAUCAAAGAAGCAAUUUCAAAAGCACCCUUAAAAGCAACAAAUUCUUCAAUUUGUUGAACAUCAUAGUAAUUAUAAACACCCUUAGCAUACGAAGAUACGACUCCAUUAUCAAUAAACUCACAUUGGUAGGGAAGGUGUUUCUUAGGGUUUUUAGAACAACAAGUAACAUCAUAUAUUUCACAUAAAUUCCAAGCAUAGCAUUGCAAACGUUGAAUUUGAUCCCAUAAUAGUUUCCCUUUUUCAGAUAUACAGUGUCACACAUAACAAGCAUGCUCAUCUAAAGAUUUGCCCUCAACUAAGCUAGUUGGGGUUUCAGCACGAGCACAAAGGGAUCGAAGAUGAUCCAAGUAAAAAGCUUUAGUUGUGUGAUAGAUUUUGAGUGGUUCUUCAACCAUUGGAGUAGUAGGUACAACUAUUUUUUGUGGUAUUUUGUGUUCCUACCCAUAACUAAAGAUAGAAAACAACUAAGAACAGCAAAUAAAAAUUACUUAGUGAUAAAGCAAACAAGCACACACGAGAAUAUUCACCCCACACUAUGACUCCCCGGCAACGGCGCCAGAAAAAGGUCUUGAUAACCCGCAAGUAUACGGGAUAGUUGUAGCCUCUUUCGACAAGUAAGAGUGUCGAACCCAACGAGGAGCUAAAGGUAGAAAAAAAUACCCUCUCAAGUCCUAUCGGCCACUGAUACGACUCUACGCACGCUUGACAUUCGCUUUACCUAGAACAAGUAUGAAACUAGAAGUACUUUGUAGGUGUGAUAGGAUAGGUUUGCAAGAAAAUAAAGAGCAUGUAAAUAAAAAGUAGGGGCUGUUUAUAUAAAGAAGCAAGAAAGUAAAUAAAGCGAGUGUGGCAAAGUGGUGGUAGGAGUUGUGAAAUUGUCCCUAAGCAAUUGACUAUGUUACUAGACCGGUAAUCACUAUUGCAAUUCUAUCUGAGGGAGAGGCAUAAGCUAACAUACUUUCUCUACUUGGAUCAUAUGCACUUAUGAUUGGAACUCUAGCAAGCAUCCGCAACUACUAAAGAUUCAUUAAGGUAAAACCCAACCAUAGCAUUAAAGUAUCAAGUCCUCCUUAUCCCAUACGCAACAACCUACUUACUCGGGUUUGUGUUUCAGUCACUCACGCAACCCACUAUAAGAAAAUCAUGAAGACAUUGCAACACCCUACAACGGGAAUCCCUCACGCUUGCGCGACACGGAGGGCACCAUAGGACAGCACCAAUAAUAAAACAUGCAACUCAAACCAAUCAUAGCAAUUCAUCAAUCACCGAUAGGACAACGAAAAUCUACUCAGACAUCAUAGGAUGGCAACACAUCAUUGGAAAAUAAUAUAAAGCAUAAAGCACCAUGUUCAAGUAGAGGGUACAGCGGGUUGCGGGAGAGUGGACCGAUGUAGAUAGAGGGGGGAAGGUGAUGGAUAUGUUGGUGAAGAUGACGGUGGUGUUGGUGAAGAUCGCAGUGAUGAUGAUGGCCCCCGGCGGCGUUCCGGCGCCAUCGGAAGCAAGGGGGAGAGAUCCCCCCUUCUUCUUCUUCUUCCUUGACCUUCUCCCUAGAUGGGAGAAGGGUUUCCCCUCUGGUCCUUGGCUCCCAUGGCAUGGGAGGGGUGAGAGCCCCUCCGAGAUUGGAUCUAUCUCUCUGUUUCUGCGUUCUCUAUUUCUGCCCCUUCACCGUUUCCUUUAUAUCUGGAGAUCCAUAACUCCGAUUGGGGUGAAUCUUUCGCCCAUAUUUUUCUCAUAAAAUUAGCUUUCUUGCGGCAAAAGAAGGGCAUCAACCGCCUUAUGGGUGGCCCACGAGAGUCCAGGGCGCGCCUAGGGGGGGGAGGGCACGCCCCCUUUCUCGUGGCCACCGCGGACACUGUUUCGCGUUGAUUCUUCCUCCAGAAAAUCCCAAAUAUUCCAAAAUAAUUCUCCGUCCGUUUUUAUCCCAUUUGGAUUCCAUUUGAUAUUGGUUUUCUGUGAAACAUAAAACAUGCAACAGACAUGAAUUGGCAUUGGGCACUGAAUCAAUAUGUUAGUCCCAAAAAUAGUAUAAAAAGUUGCCAAAAGUAUAUGAAAGUUGAAGAAUAUUGGCAUGGAACAAUCAAAAAUUAUAGAUACGACGGAGACGUAUCAAGCACCCAUCCGGUGGCCCCGACGGUCUAGGGCGUUAUUCGGCACCGAGAGGGUGUAGUCCACGGUGAAUAACUACUUCUCCGUGUUAGUGCAUGUCAUCGCGAGAUGACAUACCAAGUCUAGGCCCGUUCUUCAAGAUAGUCUAUGGGUAUCGAGAGGGAAUGUGUCCGGUUUGUGCAGGAAGUGCGGGUCCUGUUGCUCCAUUGGCCUCGAAACUUCUUGUGCUCUGAAAGGAGGCCAUAACAUGUAUAUGCAUGGGCUAUCUGGUGGCCCCGGUGGUCUAGGAAGUUGACUGGCACCGAGAGAGGGGGUAGGCCACGGUCAACAACUGCUUCUUCUCAUGUUUUUUACUUUACACUCAUUAAAGUUGAGUUUUGAAAAAAAUCAUCAAAAGUCAUUUAAUUUAUAAUCUUUGGUCGUAAAAGCAUAUGAAAUAUGAGAUGCAAAAAAGAUAGUGCAAAAAAAAGACAAAAAGAGAAGGGAAAAAAAUUAGAGCAGUGGUUACCGAGAGUCGAUUCUCGACUCUCGGUAAUUGCCACCUUUUCUGAGAGCGGCUCACCAUCCACCUAGAUCUCUUUCCUUCUUGUGCAUUCUCGAUAAUAUGUAUUAUACUUUUUGUUGUUGUUUUCUUUCAUGCUUGGCAAACAACCUUAGCACAUCAUAAUUACCGUCUUGUGUUUUCUUCUUCGGAUGAGCCUCGUCCGGUUCUAGAGACCGGCACCCCUCCGAUGGCCCCGACGGUCUAGGGUGUUGUUCGGCAUCUAGAGGGGGUAGGCCAUGGGGAAUAACUGCUUCUUUGUGUUAGUGCAUGUCAUCGCGAGAUAACAAACCAAGUCUAGGCCCGUUCUGUCACGGGAUCGCCCACCGAAGACUCUGUCUCGGGGACGAACGCAGCCGGUCCUCGACGUUCCCGCCCAUGUGUGUGGUUUGUGAGGCACGUGCCAUGUCAAGGACGUGCAUUUCUUAUUCAAAUAGCACACCACCCCUGCAUGCAUAUGCAUGGGCCACGCGCAUGUACGGGUGCCCUCCUCCCCCUUGGGCGGUCUCCAUAUCGAGCACCCAUCCGGUGGCCCCGGCGGUCUAGGGCGUUAUUCAGCACCGAGAGGGUGUAGUCCACGGUGAAUAACUGCUACUCCGUGUUAGUGCAUGUCAUCGCGAGAUGACAGAGCAAGUCUAGGCUCGUUCUAUCAUGGGAUCACCCAUCGAAGAUUCUCUCUCGGGAACGCACGCAGCCGGUCCUUGACGUUCCCGCCCGUGUGUGUGGUUUGUGAGGCACGUGCCACGUCAAGGACGUGAGUUGCUUAUUCAAAUGGCACACCACCCCUGCAUGCAUAUACAUGGGCCAUGCGCAUGUAGGGGUGCCCUCCCCCCUCGGGCGGUCUCCAUAUCGAACACCCAUCCGGUGGCCCCGGCGGUCUAGGGUGUUAUUCGGCACCAAGAGGGUGUAUUCCAUGGUGAAUAACUGCUUCUCCGUGUUAGUGCAUGUCAUCGCGAGAUGACAGACCAAGUCUAGGCCAAAGCCACAGCAAGAUCCCAUCCGUGUAGACCCGAUGCGUACGUUUCCCCCCUCCAGGUGCCGGCCGUGAGGGGGGCCACAGCCCGGAGAGGCAUGCCGCCUCUUCGGACAUGCCACCACACUGUACGGCAUGUAUGAGGGCCCGGUGCGAUGCCCCGGUGGCAUUGCUACCCCCGCCCCCCCAAGGGCCCCCCGUCCCGCCUAACCCUAUAGCGUUUGACCAAGGGAUCUAGCCCUUUGACUUUGCGCGGACGGGCUUUGACCAGUGGAACUCUCCACCCGGUUGUGAUAGGUCAUACCAUAGGAACACUUUGGAGCAACAUCCGGGCCAAAGCCACAGCAAGACCCCAUCAGUGUAGACCCGACGCGUCCGUUCCCCGCCUCCAGGUGCCAGCGGCGGCGCCGUCCGUGAGGGGGGGGGGGGGCACACCCCGGAGACGCGGGCCGGGUGUUUGCAACCGCCACAACACUUCCAGACUUGUGAGAGGCCGCCUACGCAAGGUUUGGCGGCAUGUGCCAGCCCCCGGAGGCUGCCGGCACAGUCGUAGACACGCGAAGAGCAAUCCGCGGAGAGGGAAGUGUUCAGAUACUUCUUUAAAGUUCUCUCUCGGUGCCGGUCUAGAAAGUUGACUGGCACCGAGAGAGGGGGUAGGCCACGGUCAACAACUUCUUCUUCUCAUGUUUUUUACUUUACACACUCUUUAAAGUUGAGUUUUGAAAAAAAUCAUCAAAAGUCAUGGAAUGAGAUACAAAAAAGAUAGUGCCAAAAAAACACAAAGAGAAGGGAAAAAUAUAUUAGAGCAGUACUUACCGAGUGUCGACUCAUGGCCCUCGGUAAUGUAUGCUUGUUCCAAGGGUUAGUCUCGGUAAAGGAUCUAACCUAGAUCUAGGGGGACGUAUUUUCCGAGAGCUGCUCUCGGUAACUCAUCUAACCUAGAUCUAGAGUUGAUUUCUUUUCCGAGGGCCGGACCGACAAGCACUCGAUAAAUGUGACGUCGACUACUUAAGCAUAUUCCCCCUGUUGUUUCUUCACUCAGCUCCCCACCGACAGGCGCCCCUCCUCCUCUGCUUCGGCGCUCCUCCAUCGACCGGUGCCCCCUCCACCGCCGCCCCCACACCACACCGAGCUCCUUCCUCCGGUAAGCCCCCCCUCCUCCUCUCCAUGUGUGUAUAGAUAGAUGGAUUCAUAGAUGGAUGCAUAGAUAGAUGGAUGGAUUGAUAGAUGGAUGCAUAGAUAUAUGGAUGGAUUGAUAGAUGGAUGCAUAGAUAGAUGGAUGGAUUGAUAGAUGGAUGGAUGCCAUGUAGAUACUUUUUUUAAAAGGAAAAAUGUAGAUAAUUGUUGAUAAUGUUGUAUGCAUGGAUGCUAUGUGCGGAUGUGACCGAUGAGAUACGUGAGAUAGUGUCGAUGAGAGUUGCUCUUGGAGGUAGAAAAAUCAACUUUUGAGCGAUGACAGUUGAUUUGGGUGAGCUCCUCAUGUUAUAUCUUGAUAACACGCGAGGGGCUCACCCAACUCAACCAUCAUCGAAAGUUGAAAUACCCGUGAGAGAGUGUCCACCAUAUAUACCACCACCAGCGAGAGUUGUUCUUGGAGGAAGAAAAUCGACUUUUGAUGAUGCCGGUCGAUCUACGUGAGCUCUUCAUGUUAUAUCUUUCAUGUUUGAUUCUUAUGUUAUUUUCCAUUCUGUGAUGAAAGGUGUUAGCAUCGAUCGAUUUUUUGGCUAUGGCCUCCAACAUCGAAGCUUCCAUUAGGGUCGACUCCACGGACACGGAGAAGAGCUCCGAGUAUCGCUUGGAGGAACUCCUUGAGAAGAACCCACAACUGAUCCUAAUGAAGUUUUUUGUGGAUCUGGCCAAGAAGAAUCCCCCAGCUAAGGAGGGCAAGGCUCCACCAUGCAAGGAGCCAUUGAGUCCACCGACCAUCAUUCCCGACGAUGCUUGGUCCUCCAGUGUGGGGGAUGCCCCCACGUGCUCUGACUCGACGACCACUGGUUUCACCGACUACACCUCAGAGUAGUCACCUAGAUAGUUUGACGUUGAUUUAGUGGUAUAGUUAUGUACUUGCUGAUAUGGACUUGGAUGACCACUUGCGAUGCUUUUGAUUGUAUGAGUGAUGAAUGCUUAUGUUGAUUAUGUAUGAUGUGCCUUAUUUCUCUUUCUUUUGUAGAUGAAGUGGUAUGUGGUGUACAGAGGACGGUGUCCAGGAGUCUACAAUUCAUGGUCGGAAUGCAAUGAACAAAUACUUCAUUAUGAAGGCAACUCCUUCGCCUCAUUCAACAACAGAGAGACGUCAGAGUAUCAUCACAAUCAGUAUUUGCUUAAGCAAAAGAGAAAAACAGAAUUACGCAAUGGUGCAAGCUAGACACGGCUUAGCUGGUUCAGUUGGUUGAAGAACUUCAUAAUUCUCUUUCAGUUUGUCAUAAUUGUGGUGUUGCUUUUUUAUCAUAUGGUGCAUGCAUGCAGACCACUUUGUUGUUUAAUUAGUAAGUAGGCACUUGUACUAAAGAGCUACUUUGUGAUUUGAAAUGAAGCUUGUGUGAACUAUUUAUGGAUUAAUGCUUAUGUGAGUUUGUUAUUAACCUGUGUGACUUGAAAUGCAAGUUUGAGUAUUGUAUAAAUGUUUUUGCUGCACCAACUCGAGCAAAAAACAAUAUGAACAGAACUGGGAACAAAAUUUUACCGAGGGCCGCACUCGGCAAACAGGCAUGCGCUGGAAGCUGGAGGCACUUGGUUGUUGCAGUUAUGCCGAGAGGACUCUCGGUAAAGCAGCAGUUACCGAGGGUCGACUCCUUGCUCUCGGUAAAUGAGAAGGUGCCGAGAGUCACUCUUGGUAAUGAUUAGGGCACCACCAAAGUUUAGUCCCACCUCGCCUAGAGACAAGCAACAAAACCUAUUUAAAUAGUGGGAUAGUCCAGAUGCAGUAAGCUUCGGUAUUCAUUACACUCUUGUUAAGGAGAUGGACUAUCACUUUGAAUGUUCACCUAUCUCGAGCAGAGAACAUUCAAAGUGAUAGGCCUUCUUCUUAAUGGUGGAUGCCGAUGUUUUUUUGUUUUCUUUCAUGCUUGGCAAACAACCUUAGCACAAAUUACUGUCUUGUGUUUUCUUCUUCGGAUGAGCUUCGUCCGGUUCUAGAGACCGGCACCCCUCCGAAGAUUCUGUCGCGGGAACAGACGCAGCUGGUCCUCGACGUUCCCGCCCUUGUGUGUUGUUUGUGAGGCAUGUGUCACAAUAAGCACGUGCGUUGCUUAUUCAAAUAGCACACCACCCCUACAUGCAUAUGCAUGGGCCACACGCAUGUAUGGGUGCCCUCCCCCCUCGGGCGGUCUCCAUAUCGAGCACCCAUCCAGUGGCCCCGACGGUCUAGGGCGUUAUUCAGCACCGAGAGGGUGUAGUCCACGGUGAAUAACUGCUUCUCCGUGUUAGUGUGUGUCAUCGCGAGAUGGCAGACCAAGUCUAGGCCCGUUCUUCGAGAUAGUCUAUGGGUAUCGAGGGAAUGUGUCCGGUUUGUGCAGGAAGUGCGGGUCCUGUUGCUCCAUUGGCCUCAAAACUUCUUGUGCUCUCAAAGGAGGCCAUCACAUGUAUAUGCAUGGGCUAUCUGGUGGCCCCGGUGGUCUAGGAAGUUGACCGGCACCGAGAAAGGGGAUAGGCCAAGGUCAACAACUGCUUCUUCUCAUGUUUUUUACUUUACACUCUUUAAAGUUGAGUUUUGAAAAAAUUCAUCAAAAGUCAUUUAAUUUAUAAUCUUUAGUCGUAAAAGCAUAUGAAAUAUGAGAUACAAAAAAGAUAGCGCAAAAAAAGACAAAAAGAGAAGGGAAAAAAAUUAGAGCAGUGGUUACCGAGAGUCGAUUCUCGGCUCUCGGUAAUUGCCACCUUUUCCGAGAGCGGCUGUCGGUAAACCAUCCACCUAGAUCUAUUUCCUUCUUGUGCAUUCUCGAUAAUAUGUAUUAUAAUUUUUGUUGUUGUUUUCUUUCAUGCUUGGCAAACAACCUUAGCACAUCAUAAUUACCGUCUUGUGUUUUCUUCUUCGGAUGAGCCUCGUCCGGUUCUAGUGACCGGCACCCCUCAGGUGGCCCUGACGGUCUAGGGCGUUGUUCGGCACCUAGAGGGGGUAGGACACGGGGAAUAACUGCUUCUUCGUGUUAGUGCAUGUCAUCGCGAGAUAACAGACCAAGUCUAUGUCCAUUCUGUCACGGGAUCGCCCGACGAAGACUUUGUCUUGGGGAUGAACGCAGCCGGUCCUCGACGUUCCCGCCCGUGUGUGUGGUUUGUGAGCCACGUGCCACGUCAAGGACAUGCAUUGCUUAUUCAAAUAUCACACCACCCCUGCAUGCAUAUGCAUGGGCCACACGCAUGUANNNNNNNNNNNNNNNNNNNNNNNNNNNNNNNNNNNNNNNNNNNNNNNNNNNNNNNNNNNNNNNNNNNNNNNNNNNNNNNNNNNNNNNNNNNNNNNNNNNNNNNNNNNNNNNNNNNNNNNNNNNNNNNNNNNNNNNNNNNNNNNNNNNNNNNNNNNNNNNNNNNNNNNNNNNNNNNNNNNNNNNNNNNNNNNNNNNNNNNNNNNNNNNNNNNNNNNNNNNNNNNNNNNNNNNNNNNNNNNNNNNNNNNNNNNNNNNNNNNNNNNNNNNNNNNNNNNNNNNNNNNNNNNNNNNNNNNNNNNNNNNNNNGUGUUUGUGCAUGUCAUCGCGAGAUGACAGACCAAGUCUAGGCUCGUUCUGUCACGGGAUCACCCACCGAAGAUUAUGUCUCGGGAACGGACGCAGUCGGUCCUUGACAUUCCUGCCCGUGUGUGUGGUUUGUGAGGCACGUGCCACAUCAAGGAUGUGCAUUUCUUAUUUAAAUAGCACAUCACCCCUGCAUGCAUAUACAUGGGCCACACGCAUGUAGGGGUGCCCUCCCCCCCCUCGGGAGGUCAACAUAUCGAGCACCCAUCUGGUGGCCCCGACGGUCUAGGGUGUUAUUCGGCACCGAGAGGGUGUAGUCCACGGUGAAUAACUGCUUCUUCGUGUUAGUGCAUGUCAUCUCCGUGUUAGUUCAUGUCAUUGUAAUUUGAAUACUAAAUUGUUUUAUAUUUCUUCUGUAUUAAUUAGUAAAGUAAAAGCUAUGGCGGACAAUACCGGCAGAGAGAGAGAAGAGGAAUUGUUCGACAUCAUACGCAGCCCUCACAGGCUAGAUGAUCUAAAUGAAGAUGACGGCUCCCAAUAUCUGAACAAUACCGGAUAGGUUAUGAAAAGAUAUUCGAUCUCGACGACCAAGCUGAUGAAGUCAUGAACUAUGAUUAUGAUGACACAGACAAUGUUUGUGAUGACACAGACAAUGCUGAUCUUCAAAUAACAAAGACUUCCGGCGAGGUAUAUUUAUAUAAGCAUGCAUCCUGGUGACCAUCACAUGUUUUUUUAUUGAAGAUAUAUUAACAAAUCAAUCUUUCUUCUUUCAGCCCUCCGGAUCGAGCAAAUCUGCUUCUACAUACAGCAAGACAAAGCGAGGCCCGGGCAGAUUGUUGAAGGAUGGUGUAAAGUACCACAUCGAAUCCACCAAACUUAGUGGCGAACCCCUCACGCCUAAGAACGUUGCGGACAAGUGGACUCGUCAGUGCGGAGUUCUUGUGAAGGACAAACUCCCGAUCUCCAUUCAAGAAUGGAAAGAGCCAAAGACUAAACGUCCAGGUGUUACUUGGGUCGAUGACAGAGCCAAAAAAGACCUGGUGAAAUCUCUGAUGGAACAUUUCACCCUACCAGAUCAUUUCACUAAAGCAGAUGUGGAGAAAGUCAAGGCCGCUGCUCUUAAGAAGAUGGCAAUUGCAUUCAACACCCACAAGAAAAGUGUAUGGGACAACUACCUCUCUAAUGAAAGGAAGACUCCAGAUUUCAAGGGAACACUGGAGAAGCACAAAGAGAACACUGGGACGAUUUCGUGACCUUCAAGGAUUCAGAAUUAUCUAAGGAACGGUCGAUGAAAAACAAGGAAAAUGCCACAAGAAAGACACAGUUCCAUAGGCUGGGUCCAGGUGGCUACGCGGUGGGAUUGCCUAAGUGGGAUAAGUCUGAGCAAGAGAUGGAGGGUGCAGGGGUCACUCCGAUUACUAGGAGUUGGCCCCCCAGGUGCAGAACUUGGUUCUAUGCGCAUGGGGGGGGGCGUUGGACCCGAAGACAGGCCUGGUUUCGAAGAAGGCAAGUCUAAAAGGAGCCGAACAAAAGAUACUUGACGCAAUAGAAGAAGCUUGAGCGGGGGUGUUCAUGCCCAACAGAGAGAACGACGAGCUUACGCGCGCCCUGGGAAAUCCUGAAUACCCGGGAAGAACACGAGGCAUGGGCGUUAUUCCCUAGUAUGAGGGCUUUUCAGACUGGAAUGACGACUAUAGGUCCCGUGCAAGGAAGAAGAUGGAGGAGGAGAAGAAGAGGAAGCUGGAGGAGGAGCAGAGGAAGCAGGACGCAGAACGCCUUCAAGGCCUAGAAGCAAGGCACGUGGACCUGGCACUCAAAUUCCAGCAGCAGCAGGAGCAGAUCGACUCACUUAGCCAGGAAAGGGGGUCUUAGCAGCGGCAGCAGCAAGCGAAUGAUCGUCCAACAUUGGAUAGCACCGUCCCAUCCAUGUCGAGAAGCAGCGUUGGUUCUGCCCCGGGCGACACACUGCUGGAUACAUACCCUGUGGAUGACAUCAUAGAGAACACUAACUGUGAGUUACACUCCAAAAUGAAGAACAUAUCCAUGAAGGUGGCGGACGGUGUUGCUUUUCCAGUUACCCCCGAAGCAACCUACCAUUGCAUCCCUAUUACAGAGGGCUAUGCUCGUGUCAUGGUUGAUGAAGUGGUGGGCCCAUAUUCGGGGCUAAUGCUUGACAUUCCUGGAGGUGAAGACGAGCGCACACUGGGAGAGGCCAUACAUCGUGUCAUCCUAUGGAGAAAGGAUUGCAUCAUCUUUCGAAGUCCACCGACACCGCGUCGUCUGCCGACUCCUUGAAGUCCGCCACCGAGUCAGCAGACUCCCGCUCCUCCAAGUCCACGAACGCGUGAGACGACUCCUCCUCGAAGUCCACCACCUCCUCCAAGUCCCCGAACGCAUGAGCUGACUCCUACGGUUUCAAGUCCGGCACAGCGUCAUGCCACUUCUCCGGAUUCAAGUCCGGCACCGUGUCAGGCCACACCUCCUGCUUCAAGUCCGGCACAUCGGCAGGCCACUUCUCCUGGUCCAACUCCACGUCAGCUGUCUCCGCCAUCUUAGCAAUCGCAGAAGAGACAUGCCACAGCUUUGGUGCGUAGCGGUACGAGUCGAGGUAGUUCAGGAAGUACAGACGGAGACAAGCGAUAUAAAUAUGGUCCAAGCCUCGCUCCUCUUCCUCAGAGGCCUUACGACAUGACCGAGGAGCAAAACGCAGCCAUAGUGCAAGCCCAAGUGGACGCCCAUUUUAGAUCGAAACCGGCACCGCCGCCAAAGGAGAAAGUGCCUGAGAAAGUAAUUGACCACUUCAUUCGUAUGGCUAGAGAACCAGCUCCCAAGCCUGUUGACUCGGACUAUGAGCGCCAAAUCAGGAAACUACAUCGAGAACGGCUAAAGAAGGAAGCGAGCUCGAGCUCGAGGGAACAAGCAGCUGGCAAAAAAUGCGGGAAAACCGUUCCCCAACUGGGAGAACAGGUGGCGCAAGCGAUCCCCCCGCUUGUUGUGCCAACAACACAUGAGAGGAGCACGCACGCCAAAUAUUAUUGUGGGCAAACUGUUAGCGUUCCCCAGCAGGGCGAUGUGGUAAUAACGAAGGAGCAUAUAAUGCAGGCUGAAAUGCUCAAGAUCUCUGUUGGACAACUCCUCGAAAUCGAGCCCAUGUCUCCGCUUAAAGAAUCGGAAAUAAAAUGGAAAUAUGCCUGAGGCCAACCUUUGGUCCAUCCAGACAAGGUCAAGGACCUCCCAACGAGAAUGUAUGAAUUGCAUCAAUGAUACAUGAACAUUACCAAGAUUUCCAAUCGAGUGUCCCUCAUGGUGAAUGUCAAGAAUGAGCAUUAUUACCAUGAGAAAGCUCUGUCCAUUGAGUAUACAGAACUUUUUCAGUUAUACAAUCAAGACGCACUCGACAAGUCUAUCGUCAGUUGCUAUUGUCUGUAAGUGAUUUCUUUCUGUAAUUUAAGUCUCAAGCUAAUUAUGUAGUGAUAAUUUUGAUCAAUCAUUACAUGUAAUUAUCCUCACUAUAUUCUUUUCUGUGGUAUUAUAUGCAGGAUGAAGAUGUAUGAAAUGAAAAAAUCUGGACUCUAUGGCAUUGGGUUAUUGACCCAAAUACCAUUAAUGAGGACAUAUGGAAGUUUUCAUUUUAUCAAGCAGGUGUAGAGGAAAGCAUGGUAGAGUUCUUGGAGCGCCUCAAUAGCAAUGAAGAUAUACUACUUCCUUACAACUUCUCGUGAGUCACACUGUCUUGUACUACAAAUUCUGUUUUUGCUUACUAGCUAGCUAGAUGUUAAUAAUUAAGUGUAUACGAUUUACGGUAGUUGAUUAAUUUUAUGCACAUGCCCGCUUAUUUAAGACAUGCAAACGUGUGCGCAUGUAGUUGGCACUGGGUCUUGAUAGACAUUAAAGUUGAGAAAGGAAAAGUUGAAUUACUGGACUCACUAACUAAAGAAGAAAGUGACUUCACCAUCGUGAAGGGGGUAGUCAACAGGUAAUUUCAAUCAUUAUUAACUAUAUAUAUCUCGGCCUAUUAUUAGUUCGUCAUUUCCUGAUAUGAACUAUUUAAUAACCCCUUAUUAAUUUUCUUUGCCGACGGGCAGAGCAUGGGCAAAGUUCAUGAAGGUGACUCCAGGCGAAUGGAAACAAAAGUUGUUUUGGCAUCGACCAAAGGUAAGUAAUUAAGUAGUACUAGCUAGCUACCAUCUCUUUAAUUCUUGUUUCAAUAUCAUUAAUUAAUUAUCAUGCUUGAUUAAUCAUUAUCUGAUUCAAUUCCAUUCUCGUAAAGGCCCUGAAGCAGGCGCCGGGGAAUAAUCUGUGUGCAUUCUACGUUUUCGAGAACAUUCGCAUGAUGACGUCCGAAGGGAGCAGAUCUGAUAGACAGGACUGGGUACGUUUGUCAGAACACUAUUCACACCAUUAUUGAUAUCUAGUCACACAACUAACACACAUGCAUAUUGAUCUCCUUCUUAACAGUUCAAAGAGGUGCGGGAUAAGCUCCUACCAUUGGACCGCAUACUAGCACUUCAAUAGGAAAUAGUCGGAUUUUUGCUCGAUCAGGUCAUAAAUCCCAAAGGAGAAUACUAUUACCCGCUACCGCCCCCAUGAACCACUUGUCAUCGUGCUCCGGAGGCACCAAGGCAACAUAUGUAGGAGAAAUUGUAUAUGUAUAUACAUGUGUAUGUGUGAAUAAUUGUGUUGGUUGUGAGACAUUNNNNNNNNNNNNNNNNNNNNNNNNNNNNNNNNNNNNNNNNNNNNNNNNNNNNNNNNNNNNNNNNNNNNNNNNNNNNNNNNNNNNNNNNNNNNNNNNNNNNNNNNNNNNNNNNNNNNNNNNNNNNNNNNNNNNNNNNNNNNNNNNNNNNNNNNNNNNNNNNNNNNNNNNNNNNNNNNNNNNNNNNNNNNNNNNNNNNNNNNNNNNNNNNNNNNNNNNNNNNNNNNNNNNNNNNNNNNNNNNNNNNNNNNNNNNNNNNNNNNNNNNNNNNNNNNNNNNNNNNNNNNNNNNNNNNNNNNNNNNNNNNNNNNNNNNNNNNNNNNNNNNNNNNNNNNNNNNNNNNNNNNNNNNNNNNNNNNNNNNNNNNNNNNNNNNNNNNNNNNNNNNNNNNNNNNNNNNNNNNNNNNNNNUAUUUAUAUAUAUGCAUAACGUGUACAAUUUGUAGUAUCGUGAAAUACCAGCAAACAAAAAAAAUGGAAUGGAAAAUAAAGCAAAAAACCCCCAAACAUUUAGUACCGGUUGGUGUUACGUGUACUACGCGCACCCGGGUCUGACUCGUGCCACGUGUUCGCACUUUAGCGCCGGUUCGUGACGAACCGGUACUAAAGGGGGGAGGGGGACUUUAGUCCCCACUCUUUAGUGCCGGUUGGAGAACCGGCACUAAAGGCCGUUAUGAACCGGCACUAAAGGCCGGUUCUGCACUAGUGCUAGUGGGACCACAUGUCAGUUAGAAAGAACACACACAAAAAAAUAUAGGAUGUUGCAUGUGCUUUGCCGAGAGCGACACUCGGCAAAGUACGCAGUAACUGACGGAGCCGUCUGUUGCGGACGGACAUGCCACGUGGCUACUCUUUACCGUGAGCGGCUCUCGGCGUCUGCAGGGUUUGCCGUGCGGUGCCUCUUUACCGUGAGGCAGUGACGGCAAAGAUUGCAGUUUGCCGUGAAGGUGGGUUUGCCGAAAGUGACACUCGGCAAAGGUUGCUUUGCCGAGUGUUCGUGUUUUAGCACUCGACGAAGAGCAUUACACCCGGCGUACGUGAAAAUUCCAGUAGUGAUGGUGGUAUUGGGUGGUAAGCUUGUUCCAGAAUCAGCUGUGCCUGAUUUUGGCUUGUACAUAAGGGUUAGCGCUAUGCACGUCUCAGCGCCCUAGCACCCUGUGUUGGUUGGUUCCAUUGGCCAUGCAACCUGAACCUUUAGAAGAACAUGGCCUAGCUGGGCAAAACGUCCCCUCAUGCUGGCAGUAAUAUAUUAGUAGUGCCAGCAGAACGUUUCGUGGUACCUGCAGUAACUUAUAAGUACCUUAAAUCCUAUCGUGUCUGGGAUUUCCAUGUGGUCUUUGCCUGGUUGCUAAUGCCAUGUAAUGGCGACGUAUUUUCGCAAGUAGCUCUGAGCUUUUUGUGAGCGCUAUCAUUUCCAUUGGCUUAGUGAGAUUCUCUACUGUCUACG
rnacentral:lncRNA from 1 species